rnacentral:lncRNA from 1 species
UACAGUUUGGUUCAGAAAAGUGGACUUUGAAUUGGAAUUAGGAUGGGAGUCUAAUGUUUUUUUAGGAAUUUUUAAUGAAUGAUUCCAGAUGAAUUUGGAUCCAAAAUUUUAUGAAUCACUUUUUUUUAUUUUUAUUGUUAUUAUGUACUAAUUUCUAUUGAAUUCUAUAAAAUCUUGGAAAAAAAAAUUAAGAAUAUAAAUAUUUUUUACAUAAUAAUUUUUAUUUAUUAUUUACUGUCACGAUGGGUAUAUAGGUUAAACUCAUUUGGCCAAUUUUAGUAUCAAAAUGAAUAGUCCAGCGUGUUUGCCUUUUGUAGAAAAAAAAAAAAGUAAAAAAAUGUUAAACUUUGUCCCCACGUGGAUAUCUUUUUUUUGAAAUGUAAAAAUAAUAAUAUUCUAUGUAAUAUUUUGAUAUUUUUAAAUAUGUUUUCCAUAAUCAACUUUCAACAUAUAUAGUAGUUGAAGGGGUAAAUUUUUUUAUUUUUUUAUUUAUAAAAAAAUUAUACCUUUAUUAUUUAUUAAUUAUAAGACCAAUUGAACCGUAGUUGAACUAGUAAACUGUUAAAUCGGUGCUUUGAUCGAUUUAAUAUCAGGUCUGGUUCUAAUAACUAUGGAUACAUGUCACAACCCCAUGUAAAUAUUGACUUUCGAUAUUUCUCACUUUCUUAUCUAUAUUAUCAUAGGUUCAUGGAGGGGCCAGUUAGGGCAAGUAAGGUUAAUUGAUCAUGCUAAAAAAAAAAUUUACACUAAUAUUUCUAAUAUAAUUUACUAUAAACAUAAUUUUGACCCCCCAAAAAUUAGUAAUUUAUUUUAAAUUUUAUAAAAUUUAUAAUUUUGAUUCCACUGAAUCUAAGUUUUUAUAAUUUUGACUGAACCUAAGUUCUGACAAUUUUAAUUCCAUUGAACUUAAGUUCUAACAAUUUGUACCAUACAAAAAAUUAGUAAUUUGUCCUAAAUUCUAUAUUUUUGACCCAACUGGUCAUAAGUUUUGACAAUUUUGACCCCACUGAAACUAAGUUCUGACUCCGCCCUUGGUAGGAUUUGUUUGGAUUAAGAAUUUAAAAUAAAUAAAUAAAAAUUUUAAUGAUUCAGAUUUAAUAUUUUUCUUAUUUUCGUCUCCCACAAAUUCAUCUCUUAAUUUCUAAUCAAAAAUUCUCAUUGUUAUAUUAAACGCAUUUUUUAAGUCUUUAAUGAACUUUUUAAACAGUUUGAUCAAAUUUUUUAUUUUUUUCCUAUUUUUCUUGAAGAGAUAAAUAUAAAAAUUUUAUAUAAUUUUUUUAAAAAAUUACUAAAGAUAAAAAAAUUAAUUUGUACCCAAUAAAUAAGCUUUUUUUUGUUUUUAGUGAUUUUUUUUCUAAAGUUGAAUAGAAUUUUUAAAUUUUUUAGAUUUUUCUCAUCAAAUGAAUCUGAAAAAAUAUAUAAUUUUGAUCAAACGAUUAAUUUUUUUUGCAAAAGAUGUAAAUUGUCUAAAAGACCUAAAAAAAAUCUCUAGCCAUGUGGCUGCGUUCAGGGAUGAAGAGUUGUGGUCAACUAUAAAUUGGUUUGAAUCGAGGAAGGGUGGAGCAAUCCAUGCAACUCUUUAGAAUGAACGGCCAUGAACUAACGUGUUAGCUUAGAGCACCCGAUUGACGUUCCAAGAGGGCAAAAUGGGAAUAAUAGUACUUGCCAGUCGUUGAUUUACGAAGCCAUAUUUAAGAAGGAUGAUGAGACCGGUACAAACGUGUCUGUCCGUUGGGAAUUGGAGAGCGAAGGGUUAGGCAAAGUGCUAAAAAAUUUGUAGGCUCAAAUGGAGAAUCUGUUGUAAUACUUUAGGGGGGGGGGGGGGAUUUGGAUUUCUGUUUGUAUUUUGUUGAUAAAAUUAUUUCUAGAUAGAUGUAUUUUAUUAUGUUUCGUAUAAAUUGUUAGAUGGAGAAGGCAUGGGCGGUCCUACAGUGGGUCUAGAAGGGGCUGUAGUCCCCUUGACUUUUAAAAAAUUAUAAAAAUUAUUUUACAUUUUUUUUAUAUUUUAGCCCCCUGAUCUUAAAUUCUAGCUCUGCCCCGGGGAGAAGGUAUAAUUUAUUAUGUCUAAUCUUUUCUACAUGAUUGACAACCAAAUAAAUCUAAAAAAGUGAUGUACUAAUAUUUUUCAUUUUACAUGAGAGACGGGUUGGUUUUUAAAUGAUAAAAUAAGAAAAAGGGUAAGAUAUGAAAAAUAAUAUGGGCAUUUUUAAAUUCUUUUAAGGGUAAACUUAAAAUUUUAUAUUUUAAUUAUUCAUAUAAAAGUGUUUUUUUAAUAAAAAUAAUGCGUAAAAGUUACUCAUUUCUAAAAACGGGUGUUCAAGAAAAGUAUUUUAGUAAAAAAUAAUUCUUGUGGUUGCCAAUAAGAUUCGAAGCAAUUUUACUAUUGUUUCUUGUAGUUUGACCAAAUUUUACAUGGGUCCUUAUAGUGCCAGUUUGAGCAAUUGAACAGGAAAAAAAAAACACAAAAACUUACAUGGUCAAUUAGGACUAAAGUAAAAUUUUAGACAAACUACAAGAACUAAUGAUAGUAAAAGUAAACAGGUUCAUGUGAGUUUCACAUGCUCACUUUUCACCCUAGAGUAAUUCUUAAUGGUUAUUUAUUGAAUACAUUGAAAUCAAUUGAAAUUUCAUGUCCUAAUUGUUCAAAUUGAAAUUAUACAAACUAAAGUAGAACUUUAAUCAAACUAUAAAGAUCUAUGAUGAUCAUUGCAUGUAUACUACGAACAGAUAACAUAACCUAAAAAAGAUAAAAAUUAGAAAAUACAAUGAUUUUAAAAAAAAUUGCUAUUUGGGAAAAAUAAGAAAAACAGGUGUUUUAGUCUGUUUUGGUGUGAAUCUCACUAAAAAAUAAUCUAAUGGAUAAAAAAUAUAUCUAUAUUUAUAGAUUUUGUCCAUUAAAUAAAAACCUAUGUAGAUCCCACACUUUUGAGAAGAAGAAAGUGAUAUUUUUUUUAAAUAAGAACUUAUGUGGAUUCCAUACCUUUUGAGAACAAGGAAGUGAUAGUUUUGACCCCCAAGGGGUGUCGCUGAUGGUCGAGGCUUGGAUUAUAAGGGGACUGUAUUCAACGCAGUGAGGCUGGGUUCGAGUCUCGCCAUCAGCUGAAGCUCUCUCCAUUUACAUCUGGGUAGUGGGCUUGUGGGGAACCUGCUCAACCCGGUUUGGGCUACUAUCCUCUGGUUAACCAGGGGUGUGUGGUUGUUCCGGGUCAUCAAAAAAAAAAAAGGAAGUGAUAGUUUUGAGAAGAAAAAAAUAAUUUCAAGUGAAAGAUUCAAGUGAAAAAUUAAUUCAAAAUGAUUUUAACUGUACAUAACACGAGAUAGAUUUAAAAUUCAAAAUAAAUUGUGAUUUAUAUAUAGAUUACACUAAAAGCAUGUGUCUUAUAAUUGAUACUUUUGAAAAGGUAUGUAGAACAAGUUGUUCACGGUUUGAAUUAGUGCGGUUUUAAUAAAAAUAAUUAACUAAAUUACUUUUAAUUGCUUCAAAUAAUUUUAGAUGAAGUAUGAUUUCAAAACUCUCUUUUAUAUUUUAUACGAAAAUACAUACUUCAUCUAAAAUAAUACAAUUUUUUUUUGAGAUAUAAGAACUUUAUUUAUAAAAUAAAGAAAAAAAUCCUUUUUACUUCUAUGUAGUUUAAUAGUUUUACAGUUUACCUCUCUAACAUUAAAAAAAUUACAACCACCCCCUUGUGCUUUUAGACUAAAAAUGCACAAUUAACUUUUCUUACAAAAAAUUCAAAAAGACAACUAUACGCUUGCCAUUUCAACAUACUCUAUCUCAGCAUUUCUUCAAAUAUUUUGCCAACACGCAGCUUAAGUUGUCCGCUUCCUACCUCAAACAAAUAAAAGUUUAAAUCACUUUCCCCACCACCACUUUAUUACACUUUUAUUUUUAUUUAUCAAUAACCGAGAGAGGUCAUUAAAAUAAAUAAAUUUAACAAAUGCUAAGAGACCAGUCUAAACAAUAUACAUAUACAUUCAUUUCUUAAGUAAUAUGUUUUAAGUUUAGCAAAAAAAAAUAUAAAUAAACAUAGUUAUAAAAACUGAAUCGAAUCGGCCGGUUGAAUCGGUUGAAUCGGGAACUGAACCAUGAAUCGGUACGGUUUAAUUAAUUUACCGAAAAUGCAUAUGAACCGGAUUGAACCGGCCAGAAUUUUAAAAAAUUCAUUGAACAGGACGGCAUUUAAUGAACCGGUCGAUUAUUAAAAAAAGUAAAAAAACACAAACGUUUUUAAAAAAACACAAAUAUUUGUGGCCUAGUAAUUUUUAAUUUUUAUUUUUGGGUUUUUUGAUGUUGAUUUUGGUAUUUAUUGGCUAGUAAAUUUUUAAACUUUAUUUUUAAAAAAUAAAAAUUGAUGCAUUAAAAAAAUCAAAAUGUACAAUCACUAUCUUUAAAUUUUAUUAUAUUAUCAAAUUAUAUAUAUAUCGAAUACGUAUUCUCAAAAAUACUCUAAUGUAAAAAAUAAAAAAUAAGAUAAAAAAAGGAGGGGAUAGGAAGAAAAAAUAAAAUAAAAUAACAGGCAACAAAAAUAAUACCCAUUAUUAUUUUAAUAAUAACCUUGUUGACAAAUUUUUAUACGUUUUUUCUUUUAAUAUAAAUGCCCAAUAAGUAAUAGUGUAGAAAUUUAAAUUGAAAAUCAAAAGAAAUCAUCUUGAUGUUUUUAUAAUUCAUAUAUUUUGUCUUUUUUAUAGGUAUUUUUAUUUUGUAACUGAUGUUAAAUUAUUGUAUCAAAAAUAAUAUCUUUAACCAAUUUAUAUAUAAUUUUUUAUAAUUUUUAUUUAAAUAUAUUUUUUAUUUAUUAUAUAACCGUUGAAAAUCAAUUGAAAACUGAUUAAAAUCAAUUGAAACUGCAUUGGUCUAUAAAAUUAUUUGAACCAAAGUAAAAAUUUAAUCAAACUAUAAAAGAUCGAUGAUCGCAUUUAUCCUAAAGAGAGAAAAAUGCGAAAGCCACGUGGGGUGGGCCCCAAUCUAUUCGCCACAAACUAAGAAUCAUCGAUAGAGAUUAAAAGGCUACUUAACUUUUGUGAUUUGUCUCGUAUUACACUAAAGGCAUAGUAUCAUAUAAUUUAUGAUUUUGAGAAUAAGUGUGGUGGAUAGGUCAUUCAUGGUUUGAAUUGGUGCUUUUUUAAUUAAAAUUAUUAACUUAAUUACUUUUAAUUGCUUCAAAAAAUUUAAAGUCAUCCUUUUUAUAUUUUAUAGAUAAAUACAUACUUUAUGUAAACUAAUAUAAUUUUUUUUGACAUAAAAAAACUUUAUUUAUAAAAUAAAGGAAAAAAUCAUUUUUACUUCUUUGUAGUUUUGUCGUUGUGCAGUUUACCUCCCUAAUAUUAAAAAAUAUACAAACAACUAUUAUGUGUUUUUGACUAAAAACGCAUAAUUAACUUUUUCUUACAAGAAUUGCAAAAAGACAACUAUACCCUUGCCAUUUCAACAUAUUCUCUCUCAUUAUUUCUUCAAACAUUUUGCCCCCAUACAUUUUGAGUUGUACGCUUCCUACCUCAAAAAAAUCAAGGCUUAAAUCACUUUCUCCACCACGACUUUAUUACGCUUUUUUUUUUGUAUUAUUUAUCAUUAACAGAGGUCAUUAUGGAAAAUUUACAUAAAUAAAUUUCUCUCUCCAAUUUAUUGAAAUGCAGUUUCUCAUUGUUUGAUGAAAUUAAAAUUAUAAGAACGUAAAACUUUAAGCAAACUAUAUAAUCAAUGAUGGCAUCUACCCAAAGAAAAAGAAAAAGAUAAUGAAAAGCCACAUGGGAUAGGCCAAAACUGUUCGCCAGAAACUAAGAAUCAACGAUAGAGUUUUAAAAGGAACUUAAUUUUUGUGAAUUGUCUCGUAUUGCACUAAAGGCGUAGUGUCAUCGAACUUGAUUGAUUUUCAAGACGUAAAACUUUAAGCAAACUAUAUAAUCGUUUGUUUUUUUGGUUAUUAUUUAUGAAUAACCGAGAGAGGUUUGAAUCGAGGACGGGGUUUACGUUUUGGUGGCCUUGUUAAUUAAAUUGGUUAUCCAUCUAACUAUGCUCGUCUCUCUCUAUGCUCUCUACUUGAGUUGAUUCCACUAAGUAUGGUUUGACAACAAUUUCUUUCUUUAUGUACAUAGGAGCUGUUUUGGUAUCAGUCUUUUUGUUUGUUUUUGCUUUUUGCUUAAAAUAAAACACCCCCCCCAAAAAAAAACCAAAUACAGGACUUGGCUUUUUGGUUCUUUUUAUUUUUGUUUUUACUUAAUUUUAGAUAAAGUAAAACUAAAAAACCAAAAAAAUCAAAAAAUCAUAGCCAUUUUGAUAACAAAAUUAAAAAAAACUUAACUUUUAAACAUUACUAAUUGAGCUCUCAUUUAUUUCCUGUAUUGUGCUAGCUAGGUUGCUAUUUGGGCAUGUUAGUGUUUUGGUAGAUUUAUGUUGCUCAACGUGAUUGGAUGUUCAAAUUGACAUAAUAAAUGUUAAUAUUAGUUAGAAAGCAAACUAGGAGGGUGAAAUAAGUUUGAUGCUCUUGCCAAACAAUUAAAAUUUCUCAAUUAAUUUAUAUGCACUUCUACUUAAUUAUAUAUAAAAGCAAUAUAGAGAAGAAGAGAGAAGAGAGAAGAGAGUCCAAACUAUUUAUAAUGGUUCGGCAAAUUCAUGCUUAAGUCCACUUCUCCAAGGACCACCCUUGGGGGAUUUACUAUUUCAACAAGCUUGCGGGUGCUGCCAAUCUUUACACACUAGAGCACUUUCAAGUCUCAAGAGUCUUAGCCUCUUGGUUCUUUUAUAAUCACGCAUGUGAUUCUCUCAUGGGUUUACAAUGAAUGAGAAGUAAUAACUCACCAAACUCUAUAUCGAAUAAACAAUGAAAGAUCCUUUUUAUAUAGAGUGAUUACAAUUUCUAUUUGUUUUUGAUCUCAAUCAAAAAUUUACAAUGAAUACUCAAAGGUUGAAGUAUUGAAUGCCAUCAAAGAUACAAGUUUUGAACACUUCAAUCUUACCCAACAACUUCAAAGAUUGAUUUUAAAAGCCCAAGUGUGAAUAGAGUCGUUGAAGCAUUAUAUGCACUAAAACUAUUCGUUCUGAUUUGAUCUCAGCUGUUGGAUCUGUGAUUUGAACGUGCCAAAUUAAAAAUUCAAACUUUGGUUGACCGAAGUUGAGCUUCAAUCAUCAAUGGCCUGUAAUUCCAUAGGCUUGAGUUUUGCAUUAACCAAGGCUUUUAUAACUUCGAUCGUCCCCUAUUUGAACUUCGGUCGACCGAACUUCAGGUUCGAUCGUCACUGGCUUUGAUUUCCAGUGAGCUGUUUAGAUGCUCUGUUUGAUUACUUGUUUGGCUUUGAUUUCCAGUGGAGCUGCUUAGGGGGGGGGAAAAAACAACCCGGGGGGGGGCCUCUGUUUGUGGACUGACUGUGCUACCGUAAAUUCGAAUUGGCCUAGGGACGUCAGUCGUGACUUUGGAAAUUUCGAUCGACCGAACUUCCUGUAUUUCCAGAGAGCAUACAUGUGUAAAUAAUUUUUAUAUUUUUGGCAUUCGGCUGUACUCAGGGACUUCGGUCCUAGAACUUCAGUCAACCCAUCUCAACCUUCGGUCGCCUUUUAAACUAAAAUUUUAGUGGCCAUUUUACCUGUGUCAACUUGGCUUGUUUCAUUUCUUGAUGUGUCGAUGUCAAUUCGUGCGAUCAAACUUUUGACAUGGGCCGAUUUUCUUAUUUUUGUUCACAAUUUCGUGCCUUUUGAUUACUCAACUUUUGUUUUUAAGUGUUGGACCCAAUAAUUCUAUCAUUUUUGUAACCCAGUACCCAUCAAAAUUGGACUUAUGGAAAUUUCAAUUUCUUUUUAAGCAUAUGUAAAGUCCAUUUUGAGAUCACUAUUUGUUUUUCAAAGAUUCUCUUUAAACGUUAAGUCGUACACCACUUUUAAAACAAUUGUAAUCAUCAAAUCAUAAUAUUUAUUAACAAUCUCCCGUUUUUUGAUUAUAACACAUUAGUUUUGAAGCUCCCCCUUAGUUCAAGACUCCCCAUUUCUUUGUGCUUUCAAUAAACUUUUUGAAGAAUAAAACAUGUUAACAACCAUAGUAUAAUGGCAUUCAAGGCAUUCAUAAUAAGCAAGUAAUAGCAUCAUGGCAUUCAUAUUCAAAAGAAACUUCCAUAGAUAGAUAAAAGUCAUAACAAAAGUUUGAACAAACUAAAAGAGAACCAAAUAGACUAAAUCUAAGAGUUCUUAAACAACUAAAAACUGAGAUAGAAAAUGAAACUUUCUCCCUCUUGGUGCAUUAUAUAAGGACCGUCACGGUAGUAAGGAGGCCGAGAAGGGGCAAGUGCUAGAUCGAAUGGUGGAGGAGGCAGAGGAGGAACAAGAUGAGCCCAUAGGCCUUCUAAUUGAGCAUCGAUUUACAUUCAAUUGAUGUGUGUGUUGCUAAUUCAUAGUCUCAUAAAAAUUCUCAAUUCUAUCAACACGUUGACCUUACUCCUCAUAAAAGUUUCCGAGCCUAUCUACUUGUUGCCUUAGCUCAUAGUAGGUAUCCCCGAGUCUAUCCAUGUAUUACUCGUGUAGCCCUUUUGGUUUUGAAUGAUCUCGACUUGUUGUUGCUUGAUUUCCCCUAAUGACUCAUUUAGUUUUCGAAAAUACUCUAAAAACCACGUCGGAGGCCCUCCUUAAGUAGAAGUUCCUUCUUGUGAUGGAUAUGCUCCAUGCAUAGGAACCUCCCCUUCCAUAGGAAACUCAUCACGUAUCGGAUUCUCACCAUGCACAGUUUCCUCAUCUUGCCAGGAUGGAAGGAUUUCAAGGUUUUCUUCAAUGUCCAUCGCACGGUGACUUAUUCACUCAUCUUUUCCCUCGUCUCUCUCACCCUCUUCCUCGGUGGAAUCAAUACUAAUGCCUCUUUUAAUUGUUGUGAUGGAAAAUCCUUGAUCUAUGUAUUGGUUGAGUUGAUCCCUUACAUUGGCUCAAAAGUGAUACAAAAUCUUAGUAAGAAGAGCACUAUAAGGUAAGGCUCGACUCCUAUGAUUCCGCACAUCGACCAUUUCUUUGAGUACGAUGUAAUUUAAGUUUAGGGGCUCAUCUAUGGCAGCCUUAUUGAUAAUGAAGGCUCACCUCGAACUUUUGUAUCUAUGGUGUAUUCAACAUUUUCUAAGGUCCCUACUUUCAAAUUACAAUAAAAUAGCCUUUCCAAGUGUGUGUAAACAUCAUCCAGUAGGGGUCGGAGUCCAUUCCAACCCAGUGAGUCCAUUGGGGCCAGCAUUCUUUGAUAGUAUUUGAGAGGGAAGCUUCUCUCAAACUCUCGUCCCAUAAUGAUUGGCCGAUCCUUGAACUAGGGAACCCAUGUCCUUUGAAUCUCCAUCGUUUUAUACAGCCGUGGUUUGAACACCAUUGGUGGCUCAUUAGGGUUGGGGUUGUCACCCCUUGGAUCAUUUGAAGCAUGUUUGGUGAGCACCAUAUUUCAAGAUGGAAUUUGAGAAUUUUUAGAGUCUAAGGUUUUGAGAAUUUUGGGAUGAUGAAUAAUAAGUGAGAUAGGACCAUUUAUAGGAAAUAAUUGAACAUAUAGGACCCUUAGGAUUCUGAGAUAGGUACCUAAAGAGUUUUAAACUCUUGGGAUGAAGAAUUGGAAUGGUUUCCUACUCUGUCUCUUCCUCUACCUUCGUAGAUCCUGCAACUUCGGUCGACCAAAGUUGCAAAUUCGGUCGUCAGACUACUAUGAUUCAAAGGACCGAACUUUCUAGGAUUUUUAAUUUUUGGCUAUUUUGAAUAUGAGAGGCCCUUAUUUUUUGUGAGUACUUCGACGAAGUUUAAGGAUUUCUAAUCGAGUGAGAAGAGGAAGAGAUAAGGACAGAUAGCAGGUAGAUAGGAAUUAAAUGAAUUUUAAAACUCUCUAUAUUUUAUCUUCCAAGUCCUGCGUGACCUUUUGAAAUACUGCACAUGCAGUAACUUCGGUCGCCAACUUCAGUCGACUGAAGUUGGCUAGACAACGGCCAAAGUUUUAGCAGUUUUAAAAUAAACUGAACAAUUUGAUAGUAAGUCCAAUUUUAUCCUAAAUUGAGUUUUUCUUCCUAUUUUCUAAUCUUCCACAAGUCAUAAUUGUCAUAUUUUCUUUAGGUAUUCUAUUUGCAUAUCAAAAUUGUAUAUUUUUAUGCAUAUUUUUGACAAGUAGUCAACAUCAAAUAAGAAGGCAUUCAGCACAUAAUUCUUUUGUUAAUUAUAUUAUUUGUUGGAGUCUACUUGUAGGAUACUCUUUGAUAUAGACUGCUCCUUUUAAUUCCAACUAACUCAAAUAAGAUAAAUCAAACUAAGAAUCCAAAAAUUAAUAUUCACAUUGGUUGAAACAUACCAAGUUCACAUCUAAUGAUUCACAAUCUUCUCUCAUCAGAUUUGUAAAAAUAUCUGCCAAUUGCCUUGUCCAUUGCGUCCAUAUAUAAGCUCAAUAUUCCCCUUUUGAGAUGUGAAUCUUUUAGAAAAUAUUCGAAUCUCAAUUGUGUUUUUAAUUCUUGAUGUUUAUAAGGAUUCUUAGAUAAAUUUAUAACACUUGUGUUAUCCACAUUAAUUGAAAUAUGAUCAAAUAUAAUCUAUAAUUCUCCAUUUGUGUUUUAUCCAAGCACUUGAGCACAACAACUUCAAUGCAACGCCCACAUACUCGGCUUCGGGGCCGUUGAUGGUAAAAAAAAAAAGAAAAAAAAAAAAAAAAAGCAAUGGAAUUUUGUUUCCUUGCUAAAUCAUAAACUAAGAAAUGUCCUAAAAAUUGACAAGUAUCACUUGUAACUUUUAUGAAUCUACUUUACAUCCUGCAUAGUCCCCACAUCGGAGACCUUUUAAAUCAAAGGGAACACUCCUCUUGGAUAAAAUAAUGCCUAGUUCAUAUGUAACGCCAUGAGAUAUCUAAAUAUACGUUUUGAUGAUCGUUAAGUGUGAUUUCUUAGGACAUGAUUGGAAUCUAAUAUAUAUGCACACACUAAACAUGAUAUUGGGUCUACUUAUUGUUAAAUAAAGUAAAAAUCCGAUCAUAUCUCUAUAGAUCUUUUUAUCUACAUUUUUUCCAUUUUCAUGUUUGUCAAGCUUAAUGGUUGUGCUCAUGGGUGUAGGUAGUGCCUGUGCUCCCAGUAGCUCAUUUGUGUAUUUUGAUUGAUUUAUAAAAGUUCUCUCACUUGAUUUUUUAAUUUGUAGUCCAAGGAAGAAGUUAAGCUCACCCAUCAUGGUCAUUUCGAAUUCUCCUUGUAUACACUUAGCAAAUUCUUUGUACAUAUUUUUAUUAGUAGCACAAAAUAUAAUAUUAUCAACAUAUAUUUGUACAAUGAGCAUGUCCUUGUUUUUUAUUUUUAUGAAUAAGAUGUGAUCUAUUUUUCCUCUAGUAAAAUUAUUUUCGUUUAGAAAUUUGCUUAGUCUUUCAUACCAAUAUCUUGGAGCUUACUUUAGUCCAUAGAGUGCUUCUGAAGGUUUAAAUACAUGGUUUAGAAAUUCAUGAUUCUCAAACCCGGAAGGUUGUACUACAUAUACCUCAUUGGUUAUAUAUCUAUUUAAAAAUGCACUCUUCACAUUCAUUUGAUAUAGCUUAAAGUGUAUAUAGCAUGCAAAAGCAAGUACGGGACUAUGGCUUCUAAUUCAGUCUACGGAGCACAUAAUCAUGAAAAUCAAUUCCCUCUCUUGCUAAAUUCUAUCACAACUCUAGAUUUAUUUUCUAACAAUAAUUCCGUAUUUAUCAAGUUUGUUUUUAAAUACUCAUUUAUUGCCUAUUACAGAUUUAUUAGAUGGUCUAGGUACUAGUAUCCAAACUUUACUUCUUUUAAAUUGGUUUAAUCCUUCUUGCAUAGCUAAAAAUCAAUGUUCAUCAAAUUCGACUUCAUAAAAGUUUAUAGGUUCUAUUUGACAUAAAAAUGCAAGAUUCUCACAAAUAUUUAUAAGAGAGUUUCUCGUGGUUACCCCCUUUGAUGAUCCCGUGAUUGAGAUUGUUAGAUUUAUGUAAACGUAUCCGUCUAUCUUUCGGAAUACUUGGAGAUUUCCACCAUCUUGAAUUUGAUUCUCCAUGUGAGGUAGCACUAACUUCUAAUUUGGAUUUUUUUCAAUCGGCUUCUCUCUGCAAUUCUCUUGACUGACUUUCUUGAAAAUCUCAAGAUUUUUAUGCUUCGUCAAUCCCACAUUCUUUGAUGCAUCUUGAAAAGAUAUAUCAUUAAAUGCAUCAAUGCACGAAACAUGUAUAUAUUCUUCACUACUAAUUUUUGUUUAUUAAAAAUUCGAAUGCUUUACUUGUAAGUUGAAUAAGCCUAUAAGAUAGCUUUCAUCUGAUUUUGAAUUGAUUUUUUCAAGUUAUCUUUGCCAAUUAUUUAAGACAUAGCAUUUGCACCCAAAAGCGUGAAAGAAACUGAUAUUAGGUUUUCUAACUUUCCAAAGUUCAUACGGGGUUUUAUUUAAAAUAGUCUAAUCAUAACUUGGUUUACAAUAAAACAUGCGGUGUUCAUCACUUCGGCCCAAAAAUAUUUUGGAAGAGAAUUUUCACAAAGCAUUGUUCUAGCCAUUUCUUCUAAGAUUCUAUUUUUUCUCUCAACAACUCUAUUUUGUUGAGGGAUCCUUGGGGCCGAAAAAUUGUGUCAUAUUCUUAGUUUAUCACAAUAUUUUGUAAAAGACUCAUUCUCAAGUUCUCUACCGUGAUCGGUUCUAAUAUUUGAAAUCAUGAGUCCCUUAUCGUUUUGAAGUCUACGGCAUGGUUUUGUAAAUGAGAAAAAUGCUUCAGUUUUGUGGGCUAAAAACAUCACCUAUGUAAAUCGUGAAAAAAUCACCUACAACUAUAAGAAUGUAUAAUUUUUCUCCAAAACUCAUUGUUCUUGAAGAAUCAAUUAAGUCCAUGUGUAGAAGUUGUAGUGGCCUAGAGGUGAUAACAAUAUUUUCAGAUUUAAAAGAUAUUUUAUUUGUUUCCCUUGUUAAUAUGCUCCACAUAUUCUAUUAUUUUCAAAAGUGAUUUUGGGUAGCCCAAUUAUCAAAUCCUUUUUAACAAGUUUUGAAACUAGAUUCAUAUGAGUAUGCCCAAGCCUUCUAUACCAUAACCAACCAUUGUCAUUCAUAGCCAAAAGACAAGUUUCAUUGGUUGGUGUAACAUCGUUAAUUUUAAAAAUAUAAAUAUUUUCAAUUCUUUGACUAAUAAAUAGGAUUUUGUUAUCUUUGGUGCUUUCUAUAGUGCAAUUUUCUUUAUCAAAAGUAACUUUAUUUUCUUUAUCACAUAAUUAACUUAUUCUAAGAAAAUUAUACUUCAAUCCAUCAACAAACAAGACAUUUUCUAUAAUAGAAGAAGGUUCCUUACCCACAUUACCUAUGCCGAUAAUUUUGCCCUUGCUAUUGUCUCGAAAAUCACGAAUCCAACAUCCUUUGAAGAUAGUGAUGCAAACAUGGAUUUAACUCCAGUCAUAUGUCUUGAACGUCCACUAUCCAAGUACCACCUUCCUUUAUUCGAUGUUGCAUUCAAGCAUACCUAUACACAAGAGUUACACAUUGUCUUUGGUACCCAAAUCUUGUUGGGUCCUUAUGUGUUAGUUACAUUUCUUUUAAGUACCCACACUAUUUUCAAAUAUUUCUUAACACAUUUCUUUAUGUAGCAUGUGUAUUUAGUUUGACCUUCGGAAUUACAAAAUAUGCAUGGGAUUUUUUGUGUUGAAGAGAAGAUGGUCUUACAAAAAAAUGUUUAUAUAGUUUUUGUUUAGUUAAAGUCUUGUAUUUGAUUCUUGCACGGUCAUAUACAUAUCUUUGUGAUCUAAGGAGUAAAUCUAAAUUCUUUUGACUUUUAGUAAAUUUUCAAGACAUGUUAAGUCUAAGAUCUUAUCAUUAAACUCAUUAUUUUUAAUUGUUAAUUCAUUUACAUGCUUCUUUUAAUUUUCAAUUUCAAUAGCGAGUAAAGCAACUUGUUUUCUUAACAUGCAAUUUUUACUUACUAUUUUUAAUAACUCCUCAUAUAAAUCAUUAUAAUCAUCUUGUAAAUCAUUGAAAGAAUUAGAUUCAAGAUGUACCUUGUUUGUAUCAUCUUCUUUGGUAACAAGGCACAAGUUGGCUACCUUUUGAUCACUUGACUCAUCAUCGGAUGUGUCUUCAUCACUUCCUCCCCAAGCUGCAAAAGCUUUUUUAAAUUUUUAAAAUUUUUCCUUGGAACUUUUCUUGUCCUUUCUUAAUUUUGGACAAUCCACUUUUAUAUGUACCGGCUUUUUGCACUCGAAACAGUUGAUGGAAUUCUUCUUUGAUUCUUCUUCCUUGCCAAAGUUUCUUCAACCUUAUCUUCGUGGAUAUUGACCCUUUUUGAACAAUUUUUUGAAUCGUCUUGUAAAUAAAGUCAUUUUCUUAUCACUUUCUUCAUCAUCGGGUAUGUCUUCGUUUGUGUGUGAUGAGGAGGUCUUGAAGGCAAUUUCUCUUUUCUUCUUAUUUUCAUUAAAUUCCUAAUAUUGUACUUCUUCAUGUGUAAAUCUUAUGUGUCAUGAGAGACCCGCGUAAUUCAUCAAGGCCCAUCUUGGUGAGGUCUUUUGCUUCUUCUAUUGCGGUCACUUUUAGACCUCAACUUCUUGAUAAAUACCUAAGAAUUUUUCUCACCAUUUUCACAUUAGUAUAGAUUUUUCAAAGAGAUUUCAAACCAUUGAUUAUGUCAGUGAAUCUAGUAAACAUUUCAAACAGUAUUUCGCUAGUUUCCAUUUUAAAUAUUCGUACUUAUGAACUAAAUAUGUUUAUUGUUGAUUCUUUAAACUUUGUCUAGUUUCCCUUCGUGGAUCCACUUCUAAUUUAUAACUAAAUUUUCUUAACCGUUUCACAACCGGAAUUGAUUUAAUUCAUUUACGUCUAAUGCACAAUACAAACAUGAAAACUUUAAGCCAUGUUUUGUACAUCCUUUACAUCUAUGGGAGUCAUCAUUUGAGGCCCUUUGGAACAUUUCAUUUCCUCUUUUUUUUUUUUUAUGGCAUAAUAGGCCCCCAUUUUCAAUGAUGUUUUUCCAACAUCAGAUCGUUUGCUUGAAUAAUAUUUCCCAUUCUAUUUUUUCAAUAAUUAUAGUUGCUACUUGUAAAAUGGUUAAGGCUUAUAAUUUUGACCUCGGUCCGAUAUAUGUUCCUAUGAUAUUGACCAUGGAUCUUUAACUCCUAGAUUGUUAAAUCUAUAAAGCAAACUAUGAGGGGGUGAAAUAGGUUUGCUACUCUUGACAAUCAAUUAAAAUUUCUCAAUUAAUUUAAUAUGCAUUUCUACUCAACUAUAUUUAAAAGCAAUAUAGAGAAGAGAGAAGAUAGUGCAAACUAUUUAUAGUGGUUUAGUAAAUCUGUGCCUACGUCUACUUCUCUAAGACCUCCUUGAGAUUUCACUAUCUUUACUAACCUUGUGGGUGCUUGCCAAACCUUUACACACUUGAGCACUUCUAGUCUUCAAGAGUCAUCCCCUCUUGGUUCUUUUAUAAUCACUCAAUGUGAUUCUCUCAAUGGGUUACAAUGAAUGAGAAAUAAAUAACUCAUCAACUCUAGAUCGAAUAACAAUGAAAGAUCUUUUUAUCUAGAGUGAUACAAUUUCUAUUUAUUUUUUAUCUCAAUCAAAAACUCACAAUGAAUGCUCAAAAAUUGAAGUAUUGAAUGCCAUCAAGGAUACAAGUUUGAACACUUCAAUACAUGCCCAACAACCUCAACGAUUGAUUUCAAAGGCCCAAGUGUGAAUAGAGUCAUUGCAGUAUUAAAUGCACUGAAACUAGCCGUCUGAUUUGAACUCAGCCGUUGGAUUUGUGAUUUGGACGUGGCAGAUUGAAAAUUCAAACUUCGAUCGUGAACUUCGAUCAACCAAAGUUGAACUUCGGUCGUCAAUGGCCUGUAAUUCCAGAGGCUUGAGUUUUGCAUUAACCAAGGCUUUUAUAACUUUGAUUGUCCCCUAUUCGAACUUCGGUCGACCGAACUUCAGGUUCGGUCAUCAAUAGCCUGUAUUUCUAGAGAGUAUAUCUGUAUAAAUAAUUUCUAUAUUUUUGGCAUUCUGCUGUGCUCUAGGACUUCAGUCCUGGAACUUCAGUCCACCCAUCUCAACUUUCGGUCGACCUAAGUCUAGCUUCAGUUGCCUUUUAACUAAAAUUCCAGUGGCCAUUAUUUGCUUGUGUCAAACUUUGGCUGUUCAUUCUUGAUGUUUGGCUAUUAAGUUCGGUUGACCGAACUUUUAACAGUGGGUUGUUUUCUUAUUUUUGGUGCUCGGAGUUGUAGUGAUGUGGAGAUGAGUAUAAGGCUAUUUUAGAUCCAAUUUCUCAAAUGGAGGUUUGCAUUUGAUUUUGUUAAAUAGACUAAUGAUAUUAACAUAGAGGACCAUUGGCCUCCGACUAAAAUCUCGCCAGAAAAGAAGAAAAAGAAAUGAGUUCACUCCUUUAGAACAAUUAUUUUUUUUGUAUGCUACCAUCUUUUAUUGUAAACGGUAUAAUUUAAAAUUUUUUUUUUUAUAAUUCGAUAUUCCCCACUGGACUAACUAACUUGGAGGACUGAUCCUAUUCCAUAAGAGAGCCUAUUCCGGAAUUUUUAGCACGGGAGUGGGAGUCGAACCCCCGACCAAAGACUUUACGAGGCUUGUAGUUGGCUAGUCACUAUACCAAUGCGCCAAGACCUAGGGGAUUGGUGUAGUUUCAAAAUUAAUGAAGAGAAUUCAGUCAAUGCAUUUGAAUUCUGGAAAUUUUUCUAAAUAUAUUGUACGAAAAUUGUUUUGUCAAUAACUAACCUGUACAACACAUGCACAACAAAGAGAGAAGUGUGUUGUUUGUUAUGCGAAAUAAUAGUAAAAAAUAAAAUAGGGUAGACAAUAAUAUUGUUUUAAUCUUAUCUUUUAUGGUUUCUUAUUCUCAUUAUUCAUGUUUGUGGGUGUGGAGUUCAUAAACCUUGCCAAACAAAAAUAUUUGCUUACUUAGACAUUUCAGGUACAAUCGUUUACCUCAUUCCUCCACGUACCUCUUUCCAUUCUUUUAUCAAGACAACAACAAUACCUUAGGGAGACAUAUAAAGGUACAUAUAUAUAAUGAAAUCUUUACUCCAUAAGGAUUUUUAUGCCUAUAUUAUAACGUGUUUAUAAUAUCUGUGUUGAAUUAGUGGCAGAAAGCAAGGAAGAGCAUCGCGAAGAAGGAUGGCUGAUGCUGUUGUCUCUUAUGUUGUGGAAAGACUUGUGACUUUCUCAUCGAACAGUUGUUUUUUUUGGCGAGGAGUGAGAUAUGAGUUGAGUGGUGAAAACAAUUGGAUAUAUGUUGUGUUUCUCUUGAAGGAUGCGAAGAAAACAGAAUGGAGAUCAUCGAAUCCAAAAGUGGAUAUCUGAUAACAUCAGACAUGUUGCUUAUGAUGCUGAGGAUAUUAUUGAGAACUUUAUCCUUGAAGUUGAAGAGGGAAGGACUCGAAAGAAGAUGGGGCUAAAAGCUUGGUUUGAGAAGUAUUUAUGCACUUGUAGCAAGCAUGCUAGCCUCGUGAAACAAGCAACUCUUUAUGGUAUAGGAACGGAAAUCAACUCAUUGAAGACCAGGCUCGAAGAAAUCCAACGUAAUCAAGAAAUUUUUUUCAAAUUGGAAGUACUGAUGAGCUAUAGGAGGAAUUAGCUCGCACAAACAGAGACUAAUCAGUUACGAAUAAGACCAUAUGAAGCCAAUGAGCUUUGUUGUAGGCUUCAAAAAUGAGUUGACUUUGAUGUCUCCCACUUGUCAAAGAAGAGGCCGAUCGAUGUGUGGUUCCAACGUAGGCAUGGGCGGCUUGGGCAGACGACGAUAGCCCUUAAGCUUUAGCAACAGUAUGUAGUCUUAGAGAACAAUUUGAAUUCUAUGCUUGGGUUUCUGUGUCCAAAGAUUACAACAUCCAAGAUCUUCUUCAAAGGAUAAUAAAAUCUUUCAAGAAGCUCACCACCAAAGAGGAAUUCGAGGUGUUGGAGAAGAUGAAAGAAGAAGAUUUAGAGUCUUAUUUACGUGAUUUCCUGAAAGGACAUCGAUACUUGGUAGUGUUUGAUGAUGUAUGGGAUGUAGAAGCUUGGGAAACCUUGAGGAGAGCCUUACCAGACAACAAAAAUGGAAAUAGAGUCAUUAUCACAACACGACAAAAAGCUGUUGCCGAACAUUUGAAUGAGAAAACAUAUGUCCAUGAGCUCCCAUUUUUGGGGGAAGUGGAAAGUUGGGAAUUGUUUUGUAAGAAAGUGUUACCAAAUUGUAAUGAAGUUGACAAAAAUAGUCGUAUCCCUCAAGACCUGGAGAGUAUGGCACAAGAAAUGGUUAGAAAAUGUCAUGGCUUACCUUUAGCCAUUAUUGUAUUGGGCGGAGUGUUGUUAAGAAAACAUCCUGAUAAGUGGCCAAAGGUUCAAAAGCACAUGUGGCGCCAUGUAAGGGAAGACAAUGUCCAUGUUCAACAUAUAUUGGCUUUGAGUUUCCACGAUUUACCUCUCAUUUGACUUCUGCUUUCUUACCUGGGGGGGGGUGUUAUUUCCUGGGAAGAUUUGACUUAAUCAGGCAAACUAUAAUCAGUUAUGGGUGGCAGAGGGCUUUAUGAAAAAUUAGAUGAAGAUUUCUGAAGAGAUGCUGAGAAUAUCUGAAAGAGCUAUGUGAUAGAAUUUGCUUCGAGUGCAGAAAAAAAUCGAGAGAAUCAUUUCAUGCCAAAUUACAUGAUCUUCUUCGUGAGUUUUGCAAUCGAAAAGCGAAGGAGCUAAAUUUCCUCCAUUCUAUGAUGGGCACUUGUUCCCAAUAGUCGAGAACAGCCUUUCAUUGUGGAUUCAAAGGUUGUUUUCCUUGGAUCAUUCAAAUUUGCGUUUACGACGUUUCUCUUUUUUAAGUUAGAAAAUGAGUUCGCGAAUAGAUCAGUUACAGUUAAUAUACAGAAGUUGAGAUUAUUGAGAGUGUUAAUCUUGGGACCUUCCAUUCAAUUCUUCCCAAGGACGGGAGAAACAGACUAGCGAAGCAAUAGGGAAAUUGAUUCCUUGAGUACCAUUGGGUUUAUAAAUUUUUUCAAAUACCCAUAUGCUGAUCUCUCCCCAUUCAUAGGUAACCGUGCAAUCCACACAAACCUGGAACUACACGUCGAUAUAUAAUCCAAUUCGGACCUGACUAGAUAUGCAAGCAAGAAGCAGCUCAGGCAUUUACAGGAGGCUUUUAAGUGCCCUUUCGAGUAGACAAUUGACCAACCCUUCGAACUCUUAACUUUGUUGUGGUUGGAACCAAUGGAAUUUAAUCCAAUGGAUUUGAUCAAUCUUCGAGAGCUUGCAGUAACUAUUGUGGGACAGAGCAACAAACUCAUACUAGACUCCAUUGGUAGAUUAAGAUUCCUACAAUCCUUUGAUUUGCGUGUUUAUGAUAAAGGAUCCCCUUGGUUUCCUCCAUUGCAACCACUUUCUCAUUGCAAACACCUCCUCCAAUUGAGGUUGUGGAACACGAGACCACACUGUAAACUACCGACAGAGUUGCACGAAUUCCUACCAAAUCUCAAGUUCCUCCAUUUAGCAGCAUUUGCAUUGAUGACAGAAGAUCCUAUGCCAAUAUUGGAGAAGCUUCCACAACUGACAAUUCUUGAAUUGAUGCAUUGUAAUGUAAAUAAAUUGGUUUGCACCGCUGGAGGAUUCCCUCAACUCCAGUUCCUAAAUAUUUAUAUGUGUGAUGCGGAGGAGUUACAAGUGGAAGAAGGAGGAAUGCCUUUGUUGAAGGGUUUGGAAGUUACUGGCUCUGUUAGGAUCCCAGAGAGACUAAGAUCUAUCCCUGCGAUUCCCUGGCGUUGUUUCUGUGAUUGGGCUUACUAAAGUAAUACAUGUUCCAUUAAUAAGAGGUAAUAAGGAGGUAAUAUCCAGUGCAAAAAAGCUUUUAUCGUGUUUCAAUUGCUAAUGAAACCUACGUGUGGUGCAGUAGUGAAAUGCAUUGUGUGGAUUUUUCGUUUUUUCCCCCUCUUAAGCUACCCCUUGGUUGACUUGUAAAAAUGUGCUUGUGUCUUGUACUUGGUAUAAAUAAAUAAAUUGUUCUCUUUCCUUUUUUUAUUAAAGUAUUAUUUAUUCUUUUCUUACAAUCGCCAAAAGCAUAGUGAAUAUAAUUUAAAUAAAAUAGUUAUAUUCAUGUAAUCAUGUGGUAAAGUGUUUACACCAUAGGAAAUUCUCAUUCGAGUCAAUUUUAAUAAAUACUCUCCACGUAAUAAAAAUACACAAACCUUUGAUUUUAUUAGAAUAUUUCUCAAUAAAAUCAAAACCACAAAAUAAUUUUUGUUGUUAAGUUCAGGGUGUUACACAUAUUAUGGCUUAGAAUAUUUCCAAAUAAAAUCAAAUCCACAAACUAAAUUUUCUUUUUAAAUUCGAGGUGUUACAAUAACAUUUUCAAAUAAACAAAUAAAAGGCAUUUUGAAGGUUAUAUUCUAAAAUGUGAUAGAUUCACAAUUAAUUAGGCUACAUUAUUCAACAAUUUUUUUUUACAAAAAAGCUAACCACAAUGUGUAUUGUAGUGGGUGAAAAUUGUAUAAAAAUAUGUUAAUGCGUAUUGGAAUAUAUGGAAUGUGUAUUGAAAAUUUUGGUAUUAUGUGCUCCUUAAUCACUUCUCAUUAGCUGUAGUUAGCGCGCAUAUCGACUUUUUUAUUGUAUUUAUGCGCGGUUAACUUUUUCUUUAAAUAUUGUUUGUGGUUUUAGAUAUGGAGGCCCUAGCCCGUGUUAGGAAGGCAUUGCUAAACAAAAAUAUUUGUUGAUCAUUUUUUGUUCAGCUUAUACCUCACUUAACUCCUUCCCAACCGGACUGAGUACUUCCAUUUCAUCAUCAAGCAAACCAUACACUAAUUUAGAAAGUCCAUAUAUGGUGAACUUAUUUCUCAAAUAUAAUUAUUUUUCCAGUAAGAUAAACGGGAUGUCUGUAUUAAUAACUAUGUUGAUCCAUGUUUGUAACUAGUGCGAGAGAAGCAAUGAAAGAGAAUCACGAAGAAGGAUGGCUGAUGUUGUCUCCUUCGUAGUAGAAAGACUUGCUGACCUUCUCAUCGAAUAAGUUAUUAUUAUUUUUUUUGCACGGAGUGAGAGAUGAAGUGAAGUGGUUGAGAAACAAAUUGGAGUACAUGUGUUUCUUCAAACAUGCAGAAGAAAAAUAGGAUGGAGAUCGUCGAAUACAAAAGAUGGUAUUGACAUCAAACAUGUUACUUAUGAUGUUGAGGAUAUUAUAGACAACUUCAUCCUCGAAGUAGAAGAAAGAAGGGCUCCAAAGAAGAUAGCUUGGUUAUGCAUUUGCAGCAAGCAGGCUAGCUUCAUGAAAUAAUCAACUCUUUAUGGUAUAGGAACAAAAAUCAAUCAUUGAGACCAGGCCGAAAGAAAUCCAAAGAAAUCAUAAAUUUCAAAUUGGAAGUAUUGAUGAUGCUAGAGAGGAAUUAGAUCAAAACUCUUUAUGGUAUAGGACAUAAUCAACUCAUAGACAGGGCUCAAAGAAAUCCAAUCGUAACAAGCAAUUCAAAAAUUGGAAGUAUUGAGUUGAUGCUAGAGAGGAUUAGCUAUUACCUACAAAACAAGAGACUAAAUCAUCUCCGAAAAGAUAUGAAACAUAUUGAAGACAAGAGCCUUGUUGUAGCUUCAAAAAGGAUGUUGACUUAUUGAUGUCUGAACUUGUCGACGAAGAGCCACAUCAAUGAAUGGUAUCAAUCGUGGGCAUGGGCGGCUUGGGUAAAACAACUAUAGCAUGGAAGUUUUACAACACUAAUAGUCUUAGAGAAUAAUUCAAAUUCUAUGCUUGGGUUUCUGUGUCCAAAUAUUACAACUUCCAGGAUCUUCUACAAGAACAAAAAACUCUUUCAAGAACCCGACCACAAAAGAGAAAUUUGAGAUGUUGAAGAAUAUGAAAGAAGAAAAGAACACAAAAAAAAAAAAAAAAAGAAGAGAAUUAUUUGGAGUCUUAUUUAUGUGAUUUCUUGAAAGGACAUCGAUACUAAUUCAAAUAGCAGAAAGAACAUUGAGGAGAAUCAUUUCGUGCCGAGUUCAUGAUCUUAUCUGUGAUAUUGUUAUCGAAAAGUCGAAGGAUCUAAAUUUCCUGCAUGUCUAUGAUGGAGCACUCACUCCCAAUAGUCGAAGACUAGGCUGUCAUUGUGGAUUUCACAGGUUUGUCUCUUUGGAUCAUUCAAACUUGCGCUUGCGAAGUUUUCUUGUCUCUAACUUAGAAGAUGAAUUUGUUGAAAUAACUUAGUUACAAUUUUUAUGCAUGAAGUUGAGACUGUUUAGGGUGCCAUAGCUUGGGGGUAUUCGAUUAAAUCCCUCUCUGAAAACAGGGAAGACAAAACUACCUGAUGUAGGGAAAUUGAUUCACUUAAGCUACUUGGGGUUAAAUUGCACCAAGAUAAUAGAGCUUCCACUAUUCAUAGGUAACCUGUAGGCCCAACAAACCCUAGAACUUGAUAGGGAUUUUCAGAAUCCAAUCCAAUUUCAUGACCUCAUGAGAAUCAUGAGAUAUGCAAAGCAAAGCAUCUCAAACAUUUACUUGGAGCUUUUAAGUGGUGGCCUUUCCGAGUUGACAAUCUAACAAACCUUCAAAACCUCGAUUGUGUUGUGGUUAAGGACCAAAUGGAAUUUGAUCCAAUGGAUUUGAUCAAUCUUCAAGAGCUCAAUGUACUUCUUGUGGGAGAGAGCAACAGAUUCACACUAGACUCUACUGGUAUAUUAAAAAGCCUGCAAUCCUUUGGGCUAACUAGUCUUGACAAUGGCUCCGCUUGGUUUCCUCCAUUGCAACCACUUUCUCAUUGUCAACACCUCCUCCAAAUGAGGUUGUGCAACAAAGAUGAACAUCUUUUGAAACCAACAGAGUUGCAAGAGUUUCAACCAAAUCUCAAGUUCCUGUUCUCAGUGAAAAGGGGAAUGAGAGAAGAUCCUAUGGCAAUCUUCGAGAAGCUUCCAAAACUAACAAUUCUUGAAUUGUAUUACUAUCAAGGGAAUAAGUUUGCUUGCACCGCUGGAGGAUUCCCUCAACUCCAAUUCCUACAUAAUUUUAGGGGUGAUGUGGAGGAGUUACAAGUGGAAGGAGGAGGUAUGCGUUUGCUUAAGGAUUUGCUGGUUGAAGACCUUGUUAGGUUCCCAGAGAGACUAAGGUCCAUCCCAGCCCUCCCUAGGGAUAAUUACUUUUAGUGGCCUUACUAAAGUAAUUCUUGUUGCAUGUGCAUGUAAAGGAGUAACGGCAGUAUCAAAUGGAAUGAAGCUUUGAUUGGGUUCAGUUGAAAAGCGAAUGAAGCUUAUGUGUGGUUCGGUAGUGAAAGACAUUGUGUGGAUUUUUUUUCCUUUUUCUACAAUUGCAUUGUUCAAUUCAUAGAAAUACGUUACUUUUCAUAAAAAAUAAAUUGUAUGUUUUUUUCUUUUGUUUAUUAUUAUUUUCUCUCUUUUUUUUUAACAAUAUAUAGUAGGAAAGAAAUAUGAAAGGAGAAAAGGAGUAUACCUCACAACAGUGAGUUUCAUUCAAACUUAGCUUCAAGCUCAAUAAGAGAGUGCCUUGUAUACCAUGAAAGCUUACACCUGUAAAAUAAUGAAAGGCAUUUGUUGUGUAAAAAACUGGGGAGAGCAACCAACAGUCAGUAUUGUCGGUAUCCUCGGUACGGGGCCUGGAUUCUUGAGGGCGGACCUUGCACAGACGAACAGAAGUAGUAAAGGGCCGGGGCGAGGCCUCUCAAAACCCCUCCGGCGUUGGAGCUCAGACCAAGGUUGAUGACAGAAGUAAAAGAGGCUCAGAGGAGAGUUGUUAGAGUUAUCAUGAGCAUACUUUGUUUAAUGGGGGAGCGGCUUUAUGAAGGAAGUAAUGGGCCGUGCCCAUGGAUCACGGCGAGAUUCCUCGGAAGGAUUAUUGGAAAGAUUAUCUCGGAGAAUAUAGGGACAUAAUUGGGAAGAUGCAUUUUGGAGAUUUAUGCCCGUAAUUGUCGGUGCGUGGAGGAGAAAAAUCUCGCGAUGGGCGUUUAUAAAUGGGGAUCUGUGGCGAUUGAUUCAAGCCACGUAUUUUACCUCGCCCAGGGCGAGGAGGGAGACAGACUUUGGCUCUGGGCGAGCUCAAUGGAGAUAGCUUGGCGAGGUUCUUGCUGGAACGUUAGUUUAGUAGACUCGUUUUUACCUCGGUCAAGAGGGGUCGGAGAUAAGCAUGUUUGGGGAGAUCAUGGGCGACCGUUCUGUGUUGGUGCUAGGGCGGGACGUACCUGCCUUAGUCGGUGGAGAAUUUAUUCCCACAUCAGUAGCCCCUACUCGGAACUGCCGCGGAGGAUUGAGGGAUUACGCAGUAGUAAGCAAAUCAUGGUGUCAUCCCCAAACAACGAACGUGCAUCUACAAAUGAAACACGUGGGCGCUAGAGCAUUGAAUGUUGAAGCGGCGGCACCAAAUGGCUAGGAGCAGCUUUAAUGAUUAUGAUUCGGCGGGGAGGAAACACGGAGUGUGGUUAAUACCACAGGCAUGAGGCGGCGCAUUAAUGAGACUUUUGGCGGGAGACGCAAUUAUUAUUACCUGGGAGAUGAAACGGCGCAUGACAGUAAUCAUGCAGUGAAGGAUCGGGACUCCUCAGUGUUUCCUAUAUAUAUGGGGUCCCCCCUCUCUAGACCUUUCUGCUAUUUUGUCAGCUAUUGCUCUCGCAUUUAUUUCCUCCUCGCCCUACUCGUGAUCGACCGAGUCUUCUACUUUCAGUCAAGUACUCUUAUCCGACUUACAGUUAUCCAUUCUCGUAGUUUCUGUCCUGUGAACUCCGGACGUGACUAGAUCGGGCGACCCUAGAGUCUUACCCUUCGUGGGUAUCCGACCAUCUAGGAAGAAAGACUCCCCUAUAUGACUGACGAGGUUAAACCAAUCGCAUAGUCGCCCAUGGAGGGUUCACCUGAGAAGGCCUUUGGUAACCAUUUCACCCCUCGUAGAGGAAAAAAACCAAUUCAUGACCUUAUAGGACUGGACGAUCUUAGGGAUACCUUUUCUUUCUUCGGGGUGAAAGAUAGGCUUCCCGACGAAGGGGAGACCAUUACUUCUACCGCCAGGCGAGGUGGUAAGCUUUUCCGAGGCUGGUUCCCCGCUUGGGCCUUUGUUUGCCCCCUUCAUAACCCAUUAGGUAAUUCUUCAAUUAUAUAACAUCUGCCCGGCCAUGCUCGUUCCCAAACGCAUGGAGAAGCAUCCAGCUCCAUGCGGUUGCUAUGUGGCGGUGUACAAAUACAGUCUCCCUUUCCGAGUUUAGGAACUUGUGUCGUUUAAAUAGUAAUCCUAAACCGGGACCAAGGUGGCCUAAUACUUCAGGCGAGGAACAAGGAAGGUUCGCUCGGAGGAUACCCCAGAAGUAACGUCAAGGGGUGGCAAGAGCACGUUUUUGUCGUGUAUCCGGCGAUGAAGGGAUGAUUCCAGCAGAGGAAAGUCUCAAGAGGGCACCCUUAGGAGUUCCGAGGGACGUGGGGAAUUCCAGGUCGGUCGUCUUCUAUAUUUACCAUAUUUUCGUUAAUUUUCGAUGACUCGGGGGGCUAAUGUUUGUUAUUUUGCAAGAUAGACUUGCAAUAAUUCACCUCGACUUUACGAAGACGAACCGAAGUUUCAAGAGAUUUUUCGAGGUCGGUUUUGAAAAAGUCGGACGUUCUCAGUACCCGUGCUGUUGGAAUCAAGUCGUUUGGCGGAUUUGGCUUCCCGGUUCGUAGGGAGUCGAGGACGGCGGGGCGGGGGUGGGACAAUCUUCCGAGGCGGAGAAGCUCCGAGUUCUCGAGCGACGUGGGUGAAGUUACAAAAUCCCCAUGAUCAAGGCUCGGCGAGAAAGCCCUGCCCAAGACGAUUCAAUUGAGUGUCUAGGUUCCAUCACCCCUGGACAAAAAACCUGAGGAGCGUUUGUUACCAUCACAUCCUGGAUCUGCCCUUUUGAGGGGUUGGUCAGGGGAAAAGGUUCUGGAUCCUAUACUAGGAUUUCUUCGACUGAUCCGAGCUCGAAUUCCUCGUCGGAAUCUUGUUGGAUUGAGCCUAUCCGUCGAGCUUGAAUCGGAUGGUAUUAUUCCUUUCUUUUUUCUAGGCGAGGAUUCUUUUCUUAUCUGAAUCGGUAUGUUGUUGGCAGCAUGUCGAAGAGAGUGAGGCUUUAAGACGAUUGGCGAGAAGCUUCGGGAAGGCGGGUGGGUCGUGAGGUCGGGGGACUCCCGUUCAGCAAAGGGAGUGGGUAAUUGGCGAGAAACGUCUUCUCGGACGAGAGCAUCACCAGCUCCCUCAACAAAAAAGGGGGGGGGGAAGAAGGCUGAUGACGGACGAAGGCGAAAAAAAGAGUCGACAUCGGCCCUUAGGCCAGAAGAAGGCGGACGUAGGCGAGCAAAGCUCCGACCACUCAGCCACGAUCUCCUCACCCCGGGAGGUUCUUCGGUAAAUUCGGCCACUGUCCUGGGCCCCCCACGGACCUCUAUGUUGGGCAGCCAGUGGUGGCCGAGAAGUUGCUGCGGGGGGAUGAUUCCCCCAGCCGAUAAGGAAGGGGGAAGCUCACCUUGGACAAACGGCGCUGAAGGCUUCUUCUAUGUGAGCGGUCAGGUACUUUUCGGGGGGCUUUUCAAUUGUUCUAUCGAUUUAAUUGACUCUGGAUUGCUAACAAGUGUUUCCUGUUCUUUAGCAGGCGUGGUGCUCGAGUUCGUCCUUUGGCUGUCCAGAGUAGGGAAGCCGCGGGAGGGAGGGGAGCAGGCAGCUAUUCAAGUGGGCGAGCCGUCCAUGAGGAAACUGAAUGCUCGCUAUAGAAGGUUGCUGCCGAUCUGGAACAAAACAAAGGCGAAUCCGUUGCUCGUGAGCAGCAGGCCAAUGAGAGAUUGCAAGGCGAAGUGUGAUCGAGAUUUCACUAUCCGACAAGGUUCGAGAGGUCGGGAGUGUUGGUGAACGAGCUGAGGGAAGGCUCUGAUGAAUAAAUCCAAGGAAUUUGCCGGUGAGGAGUUCAAAUCCUCGUCGGAGUUCAUGGGUGGCAGUGAAGAUUCCGACUGCAAUAACUUUGGCGAUGGGCUUUAAACUUCUGCAAGUUGCAACUUCGCCGAACAUCAUUCCGACAUGGCCCUCGAUCUUAAAGGCACCGUUGGUUGAUCACGAUCUGGCUGGCGCGCAAAGGAUGAGGCGAUGAAGGAGAAUGGACAAGGAGAAAACGGGGCGAGAACGAGGGGGGAAUGAGAAAUUAAUGCCCCCGAGGUGUAAAUUUUUUUUUUUUUUUUUUGAGUAAUUUUCGUCCAGUUGAAAUGAAAAAAGCUUUGUUCCCCCGGGUUUUUUUGUUGAUAUUUGUGUUAAAAUGGUUGAUAUGAGUAGUGGCGAAAUCCAAAUAACUGAAAUAAUAUCCGACGGACUUCAAUAAUGGCGAUUUCAAAAAUUCUUGAAUUGGCGAUCUCAUUCGUUCGAAAUUGGCGUUCUAUUGUUUUUAAUGGCGUUCUCAAUAUUGGCGACAAAAAUCAAUAGAGGUGAUGGCAAUCUUUUGUAUAAACGACGAUAUAAAUCAUAGGCGGAAUCGUAACAUUUCCAACUCAAAAAUUAUUAGGGCGUGGAAUGGAUUGUAUCAUGACUCCAUUUAUUGAUAGUAUUUUUCAAAUGCCUCGGCUUCGAGGGAUUUGUAAAAGUGCUUCCCGUUUGAGUCUUCUAACUUAAAGUCCAUGGUCAGGAGACUGACCUUGACAACUUUGUAAGGACCUUCCCACGUUGGGCCGAGCGUCCCCGCGUUUGGUUCCUUAGUUGAAGGGUUACCUUCCGCAAAAAGACCAGGUCGCCAAAGGAUCGGGGUUUGACCCUUUGAUUAUAGUAAAAAUUGGCAAAAUUAGCACUGUAAGCAUCGGACGUAGCCGACCUUCUCUUUUUUUCCUCGGAGGAGGUCCAGGUGAGCUGAGCUCGGCCUCAUUGCUUCUUUGUUUCGAAAAAAAAAAUUUUUCAAAGCCCUGAGCUUGGAAUCCCUAUUUCACUGGUUAUGACCGAUUCGAGUACCGAAGACCAUGGAGUAUGGAGUUUCGCCCAUAGGAAUCCGGGCUAGUAGUAUAAUAAGCCCAAGUAUGCUGGCAAGGUUCUUCCGCCCACUAGCUUUUUGACCUUUCUAACCUCGCCUUCAAAUCUUGAGGGUGGUACGUUGGUUACUUCAACUUGCCCAUUAGCCUGAGGAUGACCAGGCCGAGGAGAAAUGAUGGGAGAUAGCGAGAUACGAGCAGAAGAACCUAACCUGUCGUAUCAAAACUGCUUUACGUGGUCUGAGAUGAUAACUUUGGGUAUUCCGAAUCUACAAAAAGGUGCUUCCAUACGGAAUCCUGGGUAUUUGUCAGUAAUUUGGCGGAGGCUUGAGCUAUAUACAGUUAGUAAACUCGUUUUUUUUCUAUGGAGACGAUCAAAAUUUUCUUUGCAACGGAGAUUGUGGUAGGGGACCCAGUAUGUCUAUUCCCCACUGGGCGGAAUGGACAAGGCUUUGACAUCGGGUACCAUCUCAGUGUAAGAGAAGACGGCGACGGGGGCAAAAACUGGCCACACUUGGCGCAUAUCUUUAUAAUGCGGCCGCAUCUCUUCUAGUCGGACAAAAAUAUCCUUGCGAAUAGUUUCUUUGCCAAUGACCUUGCUCCAGAGUGAUUCCCGCAUAUGCCUUUCAUGUAUUUCUCGUUAGAACGUAUUCGCCUCUUCUAGUCGAGACAUUUCAAGAGGUAUUGGUCUGAAAGUGAAAAAUACCUUUGACAGCUUGCACUUGAAAAGGCAAAACCUUGCGGAUCUUGUAUUGGAGAAGGCGAGGCUUGGAUCUGAUAUUUUGGUAGGAUCCCUCUCUGGAGUAUGCAAUUUAAUCUCGUCAUCCACAUCGGAUUUUCUUCCGUUUUAGAGGAUUUGAUUGGUGCCCUCAAUGCUUGGGUUAGCUAGAAUUCCAAAGGUAUGCACCUGUUAGAAAUAAACUCAAAAAGUUGAUGCCAGAUUAGCCAAGGGCGUUGCCUUUUUAUUAUCCUUCGGGGAAUCUGGUGGAUAUUUUAAAAUCCUUGAUCUUGCGGAUGCAGCCUUUACCUCGUCCAAAUAAAGCCAUCAUCUUGUGUCCCUUAGCGAGGUAGUCCCCUGGACUAGUUUACCACCAGUUAUGAGUCACUGAGAUUUCCAAAGAUUGUGCUCCCGAACUCCGGCUAUCUUAGUCCGGCGAGGAGGGCUUCGUACUCAGCUUCAUUGUUAGUUGGCUUAAAUCCCAUUCUUAUGGCGUACUCCAUGUGUUCGCCUGAUGGAGCUCGUAUGACGAGCCCUAUGCCACAGCUGGCUGGUUAGAAGAGCCAUCGUACGAAUAACAUCCAGUUGGGCGAGGUCUUUUUUGAGGUUGUUCUUUCGGAACACCCCUUCUUCGGGGGUGAGUGUCUUCAUGGGUGAUUUGACAAUGAAAUCAGGGGGCCAAGGGCGGGCUUUUAUCGUCGUCCUUGGCGCUGUAACAAUGUGGAAACUCACUCAGCUUGAUGGACCAUUUAAAGAGUCGACUGAUGUGUCUGGUCGCUGAGAAUAUGUUUAGUGGCUGAUCAGUCAGUUACUAUGAUGGGAUGGCUUGAAAGUAAUUGACGAAGUUUUCUAGCGGGCAAUCAUUAGGGCGCGUAGGCGAGUUUUCGAUCUUCGGAUACUGCCUCUACCCAAUUAAGACUGUGCUAACGUAAUAUAUGGCUUGGACCUCAUCUUCUUAUCGGAUGGAGCACAGGCACUCAACGCGGUGGGCGAGAGAUGGAUAAAUAUAUGUAAAGGUCUUCGACGGGGAUGGGGAUGUGAGUAAAGGUGGAAGACCGAGAUACUAUUUUAGCUGUGGAGGCAUUCUUAGAUUCCGCGUCCAUUGAAAGGCCUGGCUUUUCUUAAGAUUCUGAAGAAGGGAGGCACUUUGUCCACAGACUUGGAGACAAAAAUUCUGUUUGAGGGCGCUACUCGCCCAAGUCAGCGAGCUGCGGUACUCUGAGAUUAUUUUGGGCGAGCUCAUGGGUUAGGGCUUGGAUCUGAUCGGGUUACCUAAUUCACGCUUGGUGACAAGACAUCUAAAAAUUCCCGGACGAUACUCCAAAGAUUGCAUUUGGAGCGAUUCAACAUCAUCCGAGGGCGACGCAGGACGGCAAAUGCUUCUUCAAGAUGGGCGAUUUGUGUGGAUGGGUCGGAUGAUCGGAGACUUUGACCAGCAUAUCAUCUAUGUAUAAUUCCCUGGUCUUCAUAAUUUGUUGUCCUUGAACAUCUUAUUGACAACCUUUGAUUACGUCGGCACAGGCAUUCUUAAAUCUAAUGGACAUGACUUUGUAACAAUUAUAGCACCCGCUCUGUGAAUAAAAGAAGGUUUUAUCAAUGUCAGGAGGGUACAUUUUGAUCUGGUGAUAUCCGAAAGGCAUCCAUAAACUCAAGAGCUCGGCUUGGAUGGUGGGACGUCGACUAUUAAGGUCGGAUUUGGGCAAGGGAAGGGAAAACUGUCUUGGGGCCAAGCCUUGUUGAGGUCGAUGAAAUCGACGCAUACUCCACUAUCUUCCUUUUUUUGGGAGGACUACGACAUUGGCGAGCCAACCGGAUAGUGGGCUUCUCGGACGACGUUAGCUUGAUGAGCUUAUUCACCUAGUCUUCAAUGACUUUUAGGGCAUUCAGCGAGCGAACUUCCUUGCUUUUGGCGAACUGGAGAAUGUUUCGGGCGGUGAUGAACAGUUUUGUCAUGGCGCAUUUCAGGCAAUGCCAGGAACGUCUCUCUAUGACAAGCGAAUACAUCGGAGUUUCUUCAAGAAGUUUAUUAAAGGCCAAACGAAGCGCUUGGUAAGUCUGUGCCGAUCAUAAUAUGGCGAUAGGAUAUUCGGGAUGAUGGAGAUGGGGACGAUUUCUUCAAGAGGAUUGGUGUUAUGGGUUUCUCUGAAGUCUGCCCGGGGUGAAGUUGUUCCCAAUUCAUCUCGGGUACUUGUAUCAUCGCCAUGUUCUGUAAUUGCUAUUGGGUGGGCGGAAGAAGAGGUUUGACCCUCAUAGUGACAUUAAAGCAUUGCCUGGCCACUUUCUGAUCGCCCUUAAUUUCGCCUAUCCCCCUGUUUUGGGGUGGGAAACUUUAGCUUCAGGUGAUAGGUUGAGGUGUCGACUUGAUUCCUCCUAAAAGUUGGUCGCCCCAAGAUGGCGUUAUAGGGCAGAGGGCAUCUACCCACAAUAAAAUCCUGCCAACGGUGGUCUGGUGGGUCAGUUCCCAGAGUUAUCGGUUAAGUUGAUACAUUUCCCAAGGGGGGGCGUCGGAUUCCCUCCAAAUCCGAUCAGGGGGGGUAUGGAAGGUUUUGCACUGGUCCAGCCCAAUUUUCAUUUUCUAGAACACUGAGAUGAACAAGCUGUCCACCGAGCUCCUGUGUUGAUUAAAAAUCCUCUGGACGUUUUGAAAUUGGCGAUGACGGCAGAGAAACCAAGGCAUCGUUCGUGGGGUAGGUGUAAGCAUCAAAUCAUCAUUAUGAAGGUGAUGGGUUGUUUGGUCAGAAACAAAUGAUGAAAGGUUGUAGAUUUCUCCUCGGGCCGGCCUAUGGGCACUUCUAGCAUGCCUUUUCCUGGAUGAAGUCGAUACACCGCCCAAUCCGAACAUCCAGGAUUGUUGUAUAUCGCCCCGUAGUCGUUGGUCUUUAUUGCCGUAAUACCUGCUUUCGGGGAGUUGGGCGGUGGGCGAGUAGCGACAUAUUUCCAGGUAACCCCUUUUUAUGAGGUCGGCAAUUGUUAUUUCAGUUGAAAACAGUCUCAGUAUUGUGUCCGUGGGUCCCGGGGAAUUCACAAUAUUUGUUCCUGUUCCUCCUAUGGGGUCAGUCUGAUCUUCCCGGGCCUUUUGACGAAUUCUUCGUGCUUAAUUUUGAGAGUAUUGGCAACAAAGGAGCGUGAGUGGUGUGUUAGAAUAAACUCAGGUCGGCAAGGUGGAGUCGAGGACGCCUAUCGCUAGACGUUUUGGAUCUCAGUCAGGUCUCUUGUACUCGUUCCUCCGUGAUCAGCCAGCCGUGUAUCAGGAUCUUUCUCUUAUGAUCCAUCUUUUCCUCGUCGCUUCGUUUGGCCUCGGCUAACUCCUCUGCCGGCGAAUAUAAUUGUAGGCUUUGUUCUGGAGUUGCAUAUAAAGUGCGGGAACGUUUUAGAAAGGGAGUCGAAACACGGACCAGGCGGAGUCCUUCCAUCAUUGCCAUGAUUGUACUUUGUCGCUGGAAGUCUUCAAUUCUAAUACAGCCUGAUUGAAUCGUUUCACGAAACUCUUCACGCUCUGUCUCCUUUUGGAACGUGAAACAGGUGGGAAGCAUUCUCUAUCAAUUUCUUGCAACUCAUGAAAUUGGGAACAAAGAGUCGAAUGAGCCGCCAAAAGAGUCUACGGUUCCUGGGCGAUUCGUUUCGAAACACGGACCUGGACGUCCUUUCAAAGUGUAAGUGGCGUGAGAGAGGGAACGCUUUUUGCACUAAACCUCAUCCGAAAAGCAAACACUGGAGAGACAUUAGGCUUUUGUUAUGAGUCAAGGUGAUCCAUAGGGUCUAUCUUUCCUUCAUAAAAUGCCGGAGCUGGUAGGGAGCUUGAACUUCGAAGAGAUCCGAGCUAUUAAUACCCUUUUGUGAAUGGCGGGAUCUGUCUGUCUGACCAGAGUGUCCACAGUUAAUGGACAAAUUUGUUCAGUGUUAAUGGCGUCGAGCCGUGCUGCGCAAAUCCGAAUUUUUGGAGGUGGAUUUUUCGUGCUUGCCCGAUCCCCUGAUAGACUAUGUGGGGACUCCUCCCCUUAUCAACCCUGGCUCGAAUUUGAAUAGAUUCUGAAGAGGAACUCCUUUCACGCAAGGACGGACCCUUGAUGCCCGGCGCCUACCCCUCGAUCGUUCGGUACUGAUGUUGUGAAACGAUCUCCUGAACGAUUAGCGUGGCGAGAUCGUCGAUCUCAGGGACGAAAUGGUGCAUGCCGGAAGUUGGGGUUGGCAGUUAGGGCGGAGUUGCAAGCGGCCAUUAUUCUCGUCCAUGAUCCUCAUCUGCUCAGCCAUAUAGUGUAUCUCACGAUGGAGGCCUUCUAGAUCGGGGGAAGCUUGGCCCGGGGUUGGCCAACCUUAGGCAUGGGAUCUGUUACCAGGGGGCUGGCAUAUGGCAUGGUCUGGGUAGGUUUGCGGCUGCGCAGGUAGGUGACAUAGAAGAGUGAGAACUGUGUUCCCACAGACGGAGCCAAACUGUCUGUGGAAAAAACUGGGACGAGCAACCAACAGUCAAUAUUGCUCGGUCUCCUCGGCAUGGACCUUAGAUACCUAAAGGGGACCGCACAGACGAACAAAAGUAAACGGCCGGGGCGAGGCCGCUCAAAACCCAUCCAGCGUGGAGAUCAGACCAAGGUGGGACAGCAGGUAAAGAGCUCUUUGGAAAUGGGGGAGAGUUGGGGGGGGUUUCUUGGGGGAGGGGGGCGUACCUUUGUUUAAUGGGGGAGCGGGCCCUUUUUAUAGACGGAGUAAUGGGCUGUGGGUGCCCAUGGAUCACGGCGAGAUCCUCGGAACCGGAAUGAUAAGUAUGAACGAUAUCUCGGAAGAUAGGAGACAAAAUUGGGAGAUUGCCAUUGUUUGGAGAGUAUUCCCGUAAUUGUCGGGCCGUGGAGGCGGACAAGAAAAUCUCGCGAGGGGCGGUAUAAUGGGGUCUGGUGGAGAGAUUUAUUCAAGCCAAGUAUUACCUGACCAAGGGCGAGGAGGAGACAGCACUUUGGCUUGGGCGAGCUCAAUGGAGAUAGCUUGGCGAGGUUCAUUGCUGAAAUGUUAGACUCGGUUUACCUCGGUCAAGAGGGUUCGAGAGAUAAGCAUCUUUGGGGAGAAUCAUGGGCGACCAGUUCUGUGUUGGUGCUGGGCGACGUACCUGCCUUGUCGUAUGGAGAAUUUAUCCCACAUCAGAAUCUAAUUAACUUGUCGAAAAAAGUUGAAUGGUAUGGAAGAAUUGUUUGGUAUUCGUUUUCAGAAACCAAUUGUAGAAUCUAUUUUUAGAAAAGAAUUUGUCAACGAAACAUUAAUAGUUUCUUUUUUAGUCUUAGUGGAUUGCGAUUUUAGAGAAGUUCAAAUGUUUUUUUCAUAUUUUUUUUAAAAAUUUUUUUUUUGAAAAAAAAAAACUACAAAACAAGUUCAUUUUCAAAGUCAGCGCGCAACCAAACAAAUUUCUUCUGCAAAAAUAAUUGUAAGAACAACCCACUCCAUAGCCUCAAGUAUACACGCUAGGAAUUACCCACAUAAACUAGAUGGUUUCAACUUAAAUAUUGGAGUAUUACUUGAAGCAAUAAUGCCAUCAAAUUAACUUUCUAAACGUUUAAGCAAAUAUUUUUAUUUUUCUUUGGUGCACUUAAUGAAAUUUUAACGAAUAGUGAUGAGACUAAUGUUCUUGUGAUGGUAUAUGGAAGUCAUAUUUAGUUGGAAGCAUAUGCUACUUUGCUCUGGAUCUUGGACAUUUCAAGGAAAAAAAAAAGAUAUUCAGAUCGAUUCAGAUCACAAAAAAAAAAAAAAAAAAAAAAAAGAUAUUUUAUCAUUUUUAUUAGAUAUAUUAUAAAUUAAUUUAAUUUAUAACAAGACAGUGUGAGUACUUAAAUCAUAUGUAAAUUACUUUUUCUUUUUAAUUAUUCUAUAAUCCUUAGGUAUGAAAUUAUCAUAUUAGAAGUAAACUCCUUUUUUUUUUUUUUUUACAUAGCUGGCCCAAGUAUGUGAGAAUUUUAGCUUUCGUCAGCUUUUCUAGCACCUUAAAAUCGCCUUUUCACAUAUGCUACCACUGUAAAAAUUAAAGUUGUGAUUAGUCAGUGUCACUCACGGGGAAUAGGUAACCAUAUCAUCCUCUUAUGAAGGAAUUAAUGCAAGUGCAGAGGAAUGGGGAGGGGGAGCAGCAUGCUUUUUCGCCACUUCUUUCCAUUCGAAAAAUAAAUCAUCUGUUGUGCAUGCCCAUGAAUGCUGUCGUGUAACUUAGGAUGUGAUUGCCGAAAGAAAGAAAAUGUCUGUCAAUAUGUGUCUAGUUUAUUCGACAACUAAAAAUAAGGAAAUGCCUGAAUGAAUCAAGUACAAAAGCAUAAGCCUCAACUAAAAUUAAUGAAACGAAGAAAAUUAAAAUGCUGGAUCCGAGUUCAAAUCGAGGGUUGCCAUUUGCAGGAGACGCUCUCCACAAAACUGCCUUGCCACAAAAAAAGUCCAUGAGCAGUGAAGGCAUACAGAAUAGCCUAGUUCCCAAGUCCUGACGUGUUUUAUGGGAAAAAAAUGGGAUUAAGAAGAAAGAAAUAGAAAAAGUAACUGAAAAAUCGUAGAGGCAGUUAAGAUGAAUUACAACAAAGAAGAAGAAAUCGCAAAAAUGUGAUUACAGGAACUUGAAGUUUAAGCAGAACGUAAGGUCUAUCGCAUGAAGAACAACUUUUCAUUGGCACAAAAUAGCCAACAGAAAAUGCUUGUCCAGGAAAAAACAGAGCAAAUUGUGGCAGUUCAGUUAAUGGACACUGAGUUCUGGCCACACAAGAAAUGAAUUUUUAAAACUGAUGGUACCUACCAGAAACUAGCAAAAUUUAGCCCAAAUCACAUUCUCCACAGAUACCCCUAUUUUUGGUUAGCUGUUUCAGUAGCCAUCUCAUGAUACAGAGAGAACGAUAACGAUAUGUAUGACCGGAAUUCCUUGAAUUCACGUUUUGUUUUGAUCGAAGAAGUGUUAAUGUGAUUCCAAAAUUGUUAUUGUCUGACAAUUUUCACUGUCACUCCAAUGCUCAAAUCAUGAUUUAUAAUCUAGUAACAAUAAUACAAAGGUAAUUUAUUUCCAAUUAUUAGACAACCACUUCUUAGGGAACCAGAUGGCCAUGGCACAUGAUGAUGAAGUUCUGAACAAAUUGAAUUUAAUGCUUAGAUUAUGAAUAAUUAUUGGAUUAAGACGCUUGGAAGUACAUUACAUCUUUUAAAUAAGACUUAUUAUUAUUAUUUUUAAUUUGAAAAUUAAAUGAGAGAGUAAAGAUUAUGGCAAGCUUGUUUUGGAGAUUGAAUUUGACAGAUAGAAAUCCAAUUGAAUUGAAGGUGGAUACCAAAUCCAGUCGGAUUUACUAUCCUGUGCUGUGGAAAUCUCAAUAUGCACUUAUUGAUUUUUACAAGGGAUAUGGGGUUCGAUUAUAAAUACUUUUUGUAUUUUUCAUGAUUAUCCCCAGCUCAUAAUUUUAAAAUAAUACUCUCUUUAAUUUAAAAUAAUUAGGCCCAAUUUGUUUUUUUUUUCCCAUUUUUUAUCCCCAAAAAUGUUGUUCUAUAUAAGAAAUAUACUAGUAGUAAAAUACAUGCAUGAAUGAAAGGAGAAUUUAUUGUAAAGAUAAAAACGAUUAAAAGAUAAAAAAAUACUUCGAAAAUAAAAUUAAUCUAUUUUUUUCUAUAAUUAGUGUAUUUUUUUUAAAAACCAAUUUAUGUUACUUGUCUGACCCACUCUAUUUAAAAUAAUUUUUUUUAAAUAAAAACUUAUUAUUAUUUGUUUAACUUUGAAAAUUAAUGAGAGAGUAAGAUUUAAUGUUAAGUGAUAACAUUUGACAAAUGCAUGGCUUUAUAUAUACAUGAUUAUGCUAAAAAAAAUAUCGAUGAAGAAUUAAACCCAUUUGGAUUUAUUAAUCAUAGUGUCGUCUUUAGAUAAAGUUUAGAUAUUUUUGAUAUUUCUAAAUUUAUACCUAAUCCAUACCCUUUGGAUUUGUAAUAAGGGGGGGUGGGUGGUAUUACAAAUCAGCCAAUUUGAUGGAUUACAAAUCCACGGAUUACAUAAUCUAACCUCAAAGAGAGUCACAACACCAUAUUAGUGGCCCCAGAGGAUUUGUAAUCAAUCCAAUAUUCUAAAUCUCAAAAACAAACAGCCCGUAUAUUGAAGUGUAAGUUUGAAUCACUGCACAUGGCCUUUAUAUAUAAAUGAUUAUUGCCUAAAAAAAAUUGUAUUUAAAAAUAAAAUCAUUGGAUAAAUCAUAAUAUCGUAUGUUAGUAAUUUGGAUAUUUUAUAGGUUAUUUAGUAACUUUAGGCCUAAUCCAUAUCCUUUGAAUUUUAAAUAAUUAGGGGUGGAUGGAUACAAAUUCGGACAAUUGAUAAAUUACAAAUCCAUAGGAUUAGAAUACUCAACAUCAAAAAAGAGUCAACAAACAACAAGUAGGGGCUCCCACAAAAAUUUGUAAUCCCAAUCCAAUAUUCUAAUCUCUAAAAACAAAUAUACCCAAAGAGUAAAUUGGCAUUCUAUCUCGGAUAGAAAUCGUUAAAAAACAAAAAAAAUGAAUUUUUGAACCACAAAUAUUUUGAACCACCCACUAAAAAAUGACCCUAAUUUCUAAAAUUUUCUCCUGACCCAACUCUAUAACUCGUUUGGCUAGAGGAUAUGGGAGGGGAUAAUUUUUUUCGAGGGGAUAACUUUUAAGUUUGUUGGAUUUUUUAGAAUAGGUGGAUAAGGGUGGGGAAUAAGAAAGAAAAUAUAUAGAAAGAAACAAAAAUAUAAAAUAUUAGCUAUUUAAAAAUAUUAGGAGUGCUAGAUAUAUAUAAAAAAAAUUAUUAUAUUUAUUUUCUUUAUAUAUUUUUUUAGUAUCCCCCACCCCUGAUCCUCCAGAUAACUUUAGUUAGGCUCUAGGUCAUCAAAAAUUAUCCGCCUCUAUCCACCUGCUAGGGGAUAAAAUUAUCCGGAGGCAUAAAUUAUCCGCCUCCAUAUCCGCCAGCCAAACCGUCGUGGGUAAAAAUUAUCGAGAAAAGUUAUCUCCCUCCAAAUCCGCCAACCAAACAUGCCAUAAAUCCAAAAUACCUCAGCUCCAAAGCCAAACAAAAAUCCCUCUAAACCCACAGGUAGCAAACCGCCAGCCCAACGCAUCCUUCCUCUCCCAUUCACCCAAAACAAGACACUUUGAAUCUUAUACAGUGGUCUAUAAUUUAGUCAAUCUAAAAAUCUCUCCUAUCGUCUUAAAACCUCAAAAUCAAAAGUGUCUCUCUGCAAAAUCUCUUCUGUGGAUAUGAAGGAGAAAGAAGAUGAUGGUGGUCGUGGUCUGUUCAUUUUUUUAUUCUUGAUGGGAAUAGUAGCAAGAGGUGACGACAGAUGGGGGGAUGGAAGAGAAAUAGUUUGACUUCAAACAGAAUCACCACCAAUUUUAAAGAAUUGUUAACACUUUUAUGCUAAAAUUAGGACUAUCCAAAAAAUCGGUCUGAAUCGGUCGGUUGACUUCAGUUUUUUUUUUUUGUAUAGCUGAUUAGUUCUGGUUUUAAAAUUUGAAAGCGUCUUUAACCGGUUCCAAUUCACAAAUAGACAGUUCGGUUUGAUUUUCAAUUCCAAACCGAACCGGACUAGAUAAUACUAUAAAUAUUUUUUUAUAGUUUAACUUCUCUUUUUACAUAUUAAUUUAUGAUAAUAGUUGUUAACAUAUAAAGAUUAUUUUUUGAGGAAAACUAUAUUUAUGUCUAUGCUAUAGAUUCUUUGUUAUUUAGUUGUUAGUUGUUGAUAUGUAAUGAAUGAUUAUGUUAAGUAAUAUAGAAUUUGUAUAGUAGGAAGUUCACUACUAAGCCAUCUUCGGAAACCGGAACCAACCGAUAUUUUAAGGUUCGGAUUGGAUGAUUCAAAUUUAAACCAAUUAGUUUGACCCUUGUAAUUUCAAGAACUGUAGAAUUCGAGCCGUUCGUAGUUUUUCUCAAACCGAUCAUCCGAAACAUGAACACCCUUUACUAAAAUGCCCCAACAAAAUCUUGUUAUCACAAAUGAAUAAAUGCCUAUUCUCCAAGUCUUUUAUCCUGAACUAGUAAAAAGUAACUAUUGAUUGUUGGUACCGAGUUCAAACGAUUCACACCCUAUAUAACCAAUAUUAUUUGUGAAAGUGGUUGGAUCGAUUUCAAUCAAAAGGGUUGCGGGAGGUUAAGAAAGCAAAGAGGGAUGGAGGGAAUGGAUAUGGGUUUUUGCCAUGACAAGUUUGUUUGGGUGACAUGUGCACUGGUGUUGAUGGUGAUGGAAGGAAGAAAAGAAAGGAAGGAGGAGGAGGAGAUGCGGGUUCCAUUAGUAUGGAUCUCCAAAAAUUACUAUAUGAAUUAUUUCAUAUAGAUUAUAUCAGUAUGCAACAGUCCUACGGUAAUUUAUUAUUGAGUAUUCUUAACUUUAUUUUUUGAGAAAUACAAACUUUAACAUUAUAUGGGGCAAAAUUAAUGAAAUAAAUUCACCAACAUAACAAUAUAUAUAUAUAUAUAUUAUAUAUAUAUAUAUAUUAUAUAUAUAUAUAGAGAGAGAGAGAGAGAGAGAGAGAGAGAGAGAGAGAGAGAUGAUUUUGAAUCUUUGAUAGGCUGAGAUGCUGUCUCCUUAUUUCUUUUCUUCUUAUAUGAACUUUAUGACAUACAACAGCAGCAAGCGAUGCAUUGCUAUCUGGUCCCCCAUAUAUACUCCUUGUUUCACUCUUUUUGUUUCAUAGUUGAUGCUUACCUUACAAUACAUGUUGAGAGAGAGAGAGAGAUGGGGUAAUUAACUUGUCACCCUUGUAUUUUUACCAAACUUCCACUUUGAUCCCUCCACAUUUAAUGUGACAGUCAAUUCUUUACAUUUUAAGUAAAAUUUUAAUGUCACCUUCCAUCCAUUUGGCAUCAAUGCGGUUGACAGAAAUUAUCACGUGUAGAAAAAUUGGCAUGACGUAAAUACUUGACAUUCAUUUUAGGACACAAUUAAAGUGAAAGCACAAAAAUGAGAUUUUGACAAAAUUACACAGGCUGAAGUGGGAUUUUGGUGAAAUUAAAAAUACUACUGUCACGUAUGUUAAACACGCCAAUUUACGUCAAUCUCCUUAAUGACCAAUGAUGGAUCGAUGAUCUUGUAACUUAAACUGUAAGAGUCGACUGACAGUAGGGGGGCUAAGGUAGAAUUAGUAUAUGGACAGGGAUAAUAAAUGUAAUUAACACGAGAGAGAUGCGCCCGAUAAAGGCUCUGAGGAAAUCAAAGAAGCCUGGCCUGUACUGGCGUGGGCGUGACAAUAUUCAAUUGGCCUUUUUUGGGGACCACUUGAAAUCUUUUCUUUUAAACUUGCAUGAUUUUUUCCAAUAAUUUUUUUUUUCAUUUUGUACCAAUUCUAAAUUUUGUUUCCAUUUUCCAUUUCAUUAUAAUAUAUAUAAACAAUAAUGAAAGACCCAAUAUGAGUUUCCCAGUGGUUGAACUCACCACUCAUAUUAUAGGUCCUGUUUGGGCUAGAUUUUUUUAACUCUUUUAAUUUUUGAAUUUUUUUUUUAGUGAAAUUUUUGUACUGUUUGAUCAAAAUUAUUCUUUUUCAGUUCCUCUUAAUGAGAGAAAUUUAAAAUGUAUAAAAAAAAAUCAGCUAAUUUCAAAAAAUAAAAAGUUCAUUACUGAUAAAAAAGAAAAUUAUUAAAAAAAAAAUGACCUUUAGUGAUUUUUUUCUAAAUUUGAAUAAAGUUUUUACAUUUUAAAAUUCAUUUUUCAAAACAAACUAAAACAGUAUAAAAUUUGGACUAAAUAAUGAAAAAUACUCAAAAAAACAAAGCAUCAAAAAAAACUCAAAAAAAAAAAAAAAAAAACUAAACCAACCUAAAAUGACUAGCCUCCAAAUGUAAUUGUAAGUUGUGUACCUACCCAAUCCAGUCCAACACAAUUUCGUGACUGAUAUAACUACAUGAUUAGUUUCACCACAUUAGAGUCGCACCGCCCUAAUCAUUUGGGCUUCAUUUCGAUUCAAUUACAUGAUGAUUAAAAUCGUUUUUAUUGGGUUCGACAAGUAAAUCAUCCAAAUAAAAAGAAUCAAGUUAAUUGGAUAUCUCUAAUCACGUGAUCAGGUCAUAUGAUCGGCAAGUGUGAUUUNNNNNNNNNNNNNNNNNNNNNNNNNNNNNNNNNNNNNNNNNNNNNNNNNNNNNNNNNNNNNNNNNNNNNNNNNNNNNNNNNNNNNNNNNNNNNNNNNNNNGGCUGAGGAUAUUAUUGACACCUUUAUCCUCGAAUUUAAGAGGAAGAAACUCCAAGAGAGACUGGGUGUAAAGCUUGUUUGAGAGUAUUUAUGCACUUGUAACCAUCACGCUAGCUCGUGACAGCAACUCUUUAUGGUAGUAGAACGGAAUCAACUCAUUGAGACCAGGCUCGAAGAAAUCCCGUAAUCAAGAAUUUUUCACAAUUUGAAGUACUAGUAUGCGAGAGAGGAAUUAGCGUCGCAAAACGCGAGACUAAUCGUACAAAGAGAAAGAACCAUAUGACAGACAUGAUCUUGUUGUAUGUCAAAAAUGAUGUUACUUUGAAUAUCCGACUUGUCAACGAGUACUAAAGACCAUAUGCAAGACAACAAGAGAUUAAAAUGAAUGUCUCACUUGUCAACGAGAUGCCAGAUUAUGGUGUGGUAUCCCUCGUAGGCAUGGGAGGUUGGGUAAGACGCUAUAGCCUGGGGAGCUUUAUAACACUGUAGUCCUUAAGAUAACAAUUCGAAUUCUAUGCUUGGGUUUCUGUGUCAACUUUACACCUCCAAGAUCUUCUUCAAGGAUAAUAAAAUCUUCAAGAAGCUCACCACCAAGACGAUUUGAGAUGUGUGGAGAAGAUUAAAGAAAGAUUUAAGUCUUAUUACGUGAUUUCUGAAAGGACAUCGAUACUCUGGUAAGCUUGGGAAAACUUAGGAGAAGCUUACUAGACAACCAAAUGAAAAUGAGUCUUAUCAUAACCCGCCAAAGUGUUGCCGAGCAAUUUGAUGGAAAUGUUGUCCAUGAGCUCCCAUUCCUUUGGGGGAAGUGGAAAGUUGGGAAUUGUUUUGUACUAAGUGUUACCAAUUUGGUAAAAAAAUGAAGUUGACAAAAUAGUCGUAUCUCCUCAAGACUUGGGAAAGAGUAAUGGCACAAAAAAUGGUCAGAAAAUGUCAUGGCUUACCUUUAGCCAUUAUUGUCUUGGGAAGAAAAAAAUAUCUCAAUGAAAGAUUUAAUGAAAAUUAUUCACAUGGAUUUCAACUAUACUAUGAAAAUAAUUUAAAAUCACGAUAGUUGUAAUUUAUUAUUAGAAUGCACUAAAACGUGUGUCUUAUAAUUUAUACUUUCGAAAAGGUAUGUGGAACAGGUUGUUCACUGUUUUGAAUUAGUGCGAUUUUAAUAAAAAUUGUUAACUAAAUUACUUUUAAUUGCUUCAAUAAUUUAAUUAAAAGCAAAAUUUUGGAAUUGCAAAAUUAAAACAGACUAAACCAUAGCAUGCGAUCAAAGUCAUUUCAGCUUCAUGAUUUCAAGACUAAACUAUAGCAUGCAGUCAGAGUCGUUUCUUCAAAACUCUUUUAUAUUUUAUAGAUAAAUACAUACUCCAUCUAAAAUAAUACAAUUUUUUUUUGAGAUAAAAGAACUUUAUUUAUAAAAUAAAGAAAAAAUCCUUUUUACUUCUACGUAGUUUAAUAGUUUUGCAGUUUAUCCCUCUCGAACAUUAAAAAAUUGCAAACACUCCCUUGUGCUUUUAGACUAACAAUUCACCAUUAACUCUUCUUACAACAUCAAACGACACCAUAACGCUUUCCAUUUCAAUAUUCUCCGUUGUGGUAAACUAUAAAAUUAAAAUUUUUUAAACUUGCUCCAGAAAAAUUAAGAUUUUUUGGGGCAUUUUUUUAUUUUUUGUGCCUUGACUUUACUAAAAUUAAGCAAAAACAUAAAUAAAAAAAUAAAAUACAACUUUAAUUGAUUUUUUGAUUUAUUUUAAAUAAAAAAAUCAAAAAAAAAACUAAAAAAAGCUAGUGCCAAACUAUCUCAGCAUUUAUUCAAAUAUUUUGCCAACAUGCAGCUUAAGUUGUCCACUUCCCACCUCAAACAAUAAAUUUUAAAUCACGUUCUUUCUUCUCCACACCACUUCAUUACAACACGUUUAUUUUUAUUAUCAAUAACUGAGAGAGGUCAUUAAACAAAUACACUUUGUCAUGUUUAGAGCAAGUCUAAAACAAGAUACAUAUUAUAUAACAUAUAGACAUUCUCAAUAAUUAAUUCUAAUUUAGCAAAAAACUAUGUAAUAAGGAGUAAAAAUAGACUUGCUAACCUUGAUAACAUGAUGUAAGUCACCGAAUAAUAUUAUACAAAUUAAGCGUAUUAACUUGAAUAUGGAAAAUAUAUUUUUAAUUAUAAUAAAUCAUAUAAGUGUGAAAUAUUUUUUAUCAAAUGUGUAAUAAGUUCUCCAAGAUAUCCAUACUAGCAUGUGAGAACUUGUACAGCAUCAAACUAAUCUAAAUAAUAAUCACAGUAUCAAGCAUAUUGACUACUCAAGGCUGAUAUGUUCAUGGAUACACACCAAUCAAUCAUGGGAUAUAAGAUGUAGCAAGUAUGAUACAAUACAUAAAGAGAAAAUGUCGACAAGCAAGUUCAAUCUGAGAUACUCCUCCAGCUUAUCAUGUUUAGAACUGUGCAAACUAGAAGUAUAUUUAAGUAUAAUGCAGACAAGAUAAAGCAUAUAAAUCACUUCAAACAAUAUGUUAAUUGAGUUAAGAUAGAUAUAACAUCACGUGUAGCAUGCAACUCAAUGAUCACAACAUAUCACCAAAUACAUCUAAGUAAAAUCAAGAUAGGUAAUAUAAGAUCUCAUUACUUAGAGUGAUAGUUUGUGAAGUAUGACAAGAUAGAGUGAAAGAUACUAAGGUAGGAUACAUAUAAUCAUGACAUAGUUCAAAUGUAUAUGCAUUAAUAAGAUAAAUAAUACCUAUAAGAUAUUAUAUAUUAUUAUAUAUAUAUAUAUAUAUUAUGUCAAAAAUCGUUAUCAUGUGAAUAUAUCAAUUAAAUACAUAUUAUGGACAACUUUGUAUCAUCAAAUAUUAUCAAAAUAAACAUUAGAAUAAACAAAUAAUCGCUUUUAUAUUUUAUAGAUAAAUACAUACUCCAUCUAAAACUAAUAUAAUUAUUUUUUGGACAUAAAAAAACUUUGUUUAGAAAAAUAAAGGGGAAAAAUUAUACACACAAACUCUUAUGAGCUUUUAGACUAAAAAUGCCAAUUAACUUUUCUUACAAAAAAAUACAAAAAGACGACUAUGCCUAUGCCAUUUCAAACACACUCUCUCUCUCUCAGCAUUUCUUUAAAUAUUUUUGCGGGCCAAUGCACGGGAGUGGUCCGCUUCCCACAUGAACAAUCGAAAACCUUAAAGAACUUUCUCCACCACCACUUCAUUACGUUUUUUUUUAAAAUUAUUUAUCCCCACCCCUUCCUUACGUUUUUUUUAAAAUUAUUUAUCCACCACCACUGUCUUACGGUUUUUUUUAAUAACCAAGAGAGGUCAGUAUGGUAAAUUACACUAAUAGACGUUUCUCUCUCUAAUUUAUUAACUGGUUGAAUUAGAUUGAAAUCAAUUGAAAUUACAUGGUCAUAUUAAAUUUAGGUGAACAAAGUAAAAGUGUAAUCAACUAAUAAGAUCAAGAUCGCCAUUUGUCAAAGAGAGAGAACAUAUGAACCACAUGAGUGGUCCCAUCUAUUCUCCACAAACUACGAAUCUCGAUAUAUAUUAAAAAGGCUACUUAACUUUUGUGAUUUGUCUCCUAUUGCACUAAAGCCAUAGUAUCUUAUAAUUUAUGAUUUUUGAGAAUUAAUGUGGUUGAUGUUUAUUCAUUGUUUUGAAUUGGUGCGGUUUUAAUUAAAAUUAUUAAUUAAAUUACUAAUUUGUGUUUAAAAAAUUUAAAAUUAUUUAUUGUUUAUAUGGUGAGAGAUAAAUACAGACUUUAAGUAAACUAAUAUAAUUUUUUUUGAAAAUUCUUUUUACUUCUUUGUAGUUUUGUCGUUUUGCAGUUUACCUCUCUAAAAUUAAAAAAUAUGCCACAACUCUUAUGUUCUUUUAGACUAAAAACGCACAAUUAACUUUUCUUACAAGAAUUGCAAAAAGACAACUAUACCCUUGUCAUUUCAACAUAUUCACUCUCAGCAUUUCUUCAAAUAUUUUGUCCCCAUACAUCUUGAGUUGUCCGCUUCCUACCUCAAUCAAAUCAAAGUUUAAAUCACUUUCUCCGCCACGACUUCAUUAUGCUUUUUCUUUUUCUAUUUUUGUUAUUAUUUAUCAAUAACUAAGAGAGGUCAUUAUGUAAAAUUACAUAAAAGACGUUUUCCUCUCUAAUUUAUUGAUACAUGGACUACAUUGACAUCAUUGAAAUGAAUAGAACUAAAGUAAUGGGUAAAUUACACUGUCGUCCCUGAAGUUAUUCAGGUUAAUUACCAGACACCCCUGAUGUUUGAGAAAAUUAUCAUAACCUUAAAUAUGACCGUCCCCUGCGAUUUUCUAUUUAUAUCAUUGACCACCCCUUUCAGAUUUUAUUCCCCCAAAUUGCUUGUAAAUGACUAUUUGCCCUCACCAUAUUGACAUUACUCUCUCUCCCCCCUCGCUCUCUCCUCUCUCUUUCUUUUUUUUAGUUUUGUUUUUAGUUUUGUUUCUUUCUUUUUUUUAGUUUUUUUUAAUUAUUUUUUUAUUUUUCAUUAAAUUAAUUUUUUUAUCGUUUUAUUUUUUUUGGAAAAACAAGUUUUUUUAAAAAAAAAAAUUAACCGUCUGAAAAAAUAUUUUUAAAAACAUGUAAGAAAAAAUACAUAUAAAAAAAAAAAAGUUUUAUAUAACAUUUAUAUUUUUUAAAAAAUAUAAUCGUUUUUUUUUAUAGUAUUAUUAUAUUUUACUAAUAUUAAAUAUAAUUUUUAAUAUUAGUAACUUUUUUUUAAAUAUUUUGAUUAAAAAUUUAACCCUUUUUGAUUCUUUAACGAGAUAAGACUGAAAAUGUAAAAUUUUUUUAUUUAAUUUUGAAAACAAUUUGUUAAAAAAUUAUUAUUUCUGAAAAACAUUAUUAUUUUGAAAAAAAAAUAAACUUUAUUUUUUAUAAAAGAAAAAUGUUAUAUUUUUUAAAAUUGUCUCAAUAAAAUAUAAUUCAAAUUAUUUUUUUAAUAUUUUUCAUAAAGGUUUUAAAAAAAAUAUUUUUUCAGAAAAACGGUAAAAUUCAAAAAAAAAGCUUAUUAUCAAAAAAAAAAUUGAAAAAAAAUUAGUUUAAUAAAAAAAUUAAAAAAAAAUUAUUAAAAAAAACUAAUAAAGAAAGAAACAAAAAAAAAACGAAAGAGAGAGGAGAGAGAGAGAGAGGAGAGAGAGAAAUGUCCAAUAGGUUGAGGGCAAAUUAGUAAUUUUACCAAGUAAUAAGGGGGACAAAAUAUGACAGGGUGUUAGUGAAUAAAUCAAAGCUCCAAGGGAGGUCAUUGUAAUAUUUCACAAUCAAGAGUUGCCUUGUGUAUUAAUCUUGAAACCUAAGGAGAGGUCAGUGUAAUUUGCCCAGUAAAAUCCAAGGAUGGCAUCUAACAAAGAAAAAGAUGAAAGCCACAUGGGGUAGGCACAUUUGUCCGCCAGAAACAAGAAUCAACGAUAGAGAUUAAAAGGCCACUUAACUUUGUGUGAUUUGUCUCGUAUUGUACAAGAGGCCUAGGUUCCGUUUUAUCAAUUUUUUUUAGUUUUUUUUUUUAGUUUUUUUGUUUAAAAUAAACAAAAAAAAAUAAUCAAAGUUGAAUUUUGUACUUUUCUGUUUUUAUUUUUUUGCUUAAUUUUAGUUAAAGUAAAGCCACAAAAGCAAAAAACUACAAAAAUCUCGACCUUUUUGAUAACAAGCUUAAAACAAACUUGACUUUUAAGCAUUACCAAAUGGAGCCUUAGGGUCCAUUUGGCACCAACUUUUUUCAGUUUUUUUUUUAAAUAAGUAAAAAGGUUAAUCAGAGUUGGCUUUUUUAUUUUUUUAUUUUUUAUUUUUUUACUUAAUUUUAACUAAAGUAAAGCCACAAAAAUAAAAAAAUAAAAAAUUUUUGACAUUUUUAAUAGCUGCUUAAAAAUAUAAGCAUUACCAAACGCAGCCUUAGUGUCAUAGAAUUUAUGCUUUUCAGAAGGUCUGUGGUGGACAGGUUGUUCAGGUUUGAAUUGCUGCGAUUUUAAUAAAAAAAUAUAAACCAAAUUACAUUUAAUUGCUUCACAAAAUUUAAAUAAAAUCUAAAUUAUUGGAACUGCAAAAUCAAAGCAAAUUGAACCAUAGCAUGCGGUUGUUUCAGUUUCAUGAUUCCAAAACUAUCCCUUUUAUAUUUAUAGAUAAAUACAUAUUUCAUCUAAACUAAUAUAAAUUUUUUUGACCUAAAAUAACUUUAUUUAUUUAUAAAAUAAAAUGAAAAAUCCUUUUCAAUUCAUAUAGUUUUUUCGUAUGUUUGCAGUUUACCUUCCUAAUAUUAAAAAAAAUGCAAACAACUCUCAUGUACUUUUAGACUAAAAAUGCACAAUUAACUUUUUUUUUUACAGGAAAUGCAAAAUGACUACUAUACCCUUGCCAUUUCAACGUACUCUCUCUUAGAAUUUCUUUAAAUACUUUGCCUCCAUGCAUAUUGAGUUGUCCAGUUCCCACAUCAAACAAACCAAAACUUAAAUCACUUUCUCCACCACCACUUCAUUUCACUUUCGUGUUUUCUUUUGUUAUUAUUGAGCAAUAACCUAGAAAGGUUUGAAUCGAGGACGGGUUUUACGAUUUGGUGGCUUUGUUAAUUAAACUGGUAUCCAUCUAACUCUCCCCCCUCUCUCUCUCCUCUCUCUCUCUCUCUCUACUUGAGUUGAUUCCACUAUGCAGCAUAGUUUGACAAUUUCUUUCUUUCGUAGUACUUAGUAGUUGAUCUCCCAUUUAUUGCUUGCACCGUGGUAGCUAUUUGGGCAUGUUAGUGUUUUGGUUGAUUUGUGUUGUUCAACUUGAUUUGAUUGGAUGUAUAAAUUGACAUAAUUCUCAUGAUAUUUAUAUAUUUCAAUAUCUUAAAAAAAAAGAAUAAAAAAUUAUCCAGAGGUGAAAAUUAUUGCAAUCCAUUUGUUGGAAGUGCAUGAUUUAAUAAAUUUUGUAACCAAAUUAAGUCCUCUGAUUUGAACAAUAAAAACAUUUGUGUACACAAAAUUACCCUUGUUUUGUAUGACAAAUAUAUGUGUUUAUUAACUGUCCAACCAAAAAAUUCCAACACAUCAUCAUUUGCUCUAUCGCCACUGCAACCCUAGUGUUGACACAUAAAUUAUACUGUUUAAAAGAUUUAAUUUCAGAAUCAUCUCUCUUGCCACCAUCUGACAUCUAAAUUUCAAUAUUGAAAAUUGAAAAAACCUAGGCUUUUGUUUUAUGGAUUAACUGAUGAUUUAAAAAUUACAAUAUUUAAUCAAGAUAUCACGAUUAUGAGUAAUAUUGAACAAUUCAGACAUAAAAAGAUGCAAAUCAAUCAACCAAAAAGAACACAAGAAAUUUUACUAGAGCUGCAAAAAUGGGCCGGGCCCACGAAACCGCCGGAUCGCCGGACCGGUACUGUAGUAGUAGGGUUAGUCCGACCGUUAGAAGCCCGCCCGGACCGAAACCCAUUAAUAUUAGCACGGGCUGGCCAGCAUUUUGAAGCCGGCCCCGCUUUAAAAGGCCCCGGCCCAUAAAGGCCGUUAUUGAGCCCGAACCGACCCGCCAUCUUGGGCCCGUAAGCCCAAACCGUUAGCCGUUACUGUAGCAAAAUUUUUGAGGUAGAAACUAGGAUUCGACUCAAGACCUCCUCUCGCCAAACGCGCACAAUCAAAGCAUUUAUUGGUUAUAUAUACUUAUAUUAUUUAUAAACUAUAUCCAUAGUUAAUUAAAAAAAAAUGAAAAUUGUGUUGCUGGGGUAAUCGAACUAAAGGACCCCCAGGACAAAAUACGAGUUGACGACCACUUGGACCAAACACCAUUUUGCUUAUUAUUUGUUCAUGUAUAAUUAUAAAAUACUCCAUUCAUAGUUAAAAAAACAAAUAAAACGCUUUGCUUGGAAUCGAAAUAACCCCUCCACUAACAAAUCAAAGACACUAAACCACUCAACAACCAAGUCAUUCAUAAUAAAAAAUAGAAUCAUUUAAUAUAUAAACACUAGACACGGAGCUGGGCCAAAACCGGGCUGGGCUAAACCCGGACUGGUACUGUAGCACCCGGUACUGGAGCAGUCCGGGAUUAAUGGGUAGGACUGGGUAGCGCUUCGAACUAACGUUCGGCUAAACCCAGACUGGUACUGUAGCGGGUUGGAUUCGCCCGACCCGUAGCCGGUGGGGCCGUUAUGUAGCGGGUGGGUAAGCCAACCCGACCCAAUUUGCAGCUCUAAUUUUACCAUGGAACCUUUGAAUGGGAGAAAAAUCACGUGUUCACUCUCGGACAAAGAUUCAUGCACUAUAACUCGAGGUUCAGACGGUUACAAGACUCUUACAACCAAAACCUAUCAACUCCAUGAUCUAAUGAGUGUGUACAUCUACUCGUAUCACGAUCACCGUCUCGUGCUUGUCACCGUUUCAAAUCAUUAAACGGAUUUCACAUAUUGAACCCUUCAGAAUUUCGCGUUCACCGUUCAAUCCCCUUAGAAAGGAUUUAUACAUUGAACUCCUUCAAGGAUUCGAUUUUUUUCAAUAUGGUUGAUGAAAAUCUUUGCUAAGAUUCGUUCUGAGCUUUCAGAAGGUAGAUAACAUUUUUCUCUAGGUAAUAAAGAUAUAUACAGCUCUCCUUAGAUCUUGGGAAGUGUUGUGGCAUUUUAUAAUAAGAGAAAACCUAAAAAAUGCAGAAUUUGACGUUGCAAUUUUUCGUGUCUCACGGGUCUCUCGUGGGACUCUCGAUCCCACGAGGAUCCCACGAAAUACCCGCGAGGUCUGUGGCAAAAUAACAACUCUCAGCAUCUUCCCGCGACGGUCCCACGACGAUCCACCGAUAGUCCAGCGAGAUCUAUCAGCUCUAAGUUAUUUUGACCAUAACUUCUUACUCUGUAUCCGAUUGAGCGAUUUUUAAUGUGUUAAAAAUAGACAUCAGGGCUACCAUUUUGUCUCUAAUAAUCGUUGACUGAAUCGAUAUCUAAGAUGGACAAAAUCACGCUUGAAUGUUGUAGGUAAAAUCUUCCCGAAUCAUAUAAGUCUCUCUUAGCACGAGCUUGCAUGAAUAUGCUUGAACCCUUCGAAUGCUUCCAAAUCUUGAUAACAUUUUCAAAUACUUGUCUUGAUUACUCAACUCCCCAACAUACAUUAGACAACGUGUCACGAAUCUCACAAUUACAAGAAACCUUACAAUCUCCCCUUUGGCAUUUCGUGACCAAAACCUUAUAUUACGACCAUUAAAAGAAAAUAACCCAUCUAUACUAACAAGAUACAAAGCAAAAGAAUUAACCUGCAAACAUAAACAAAACAACCAACCGAUCAAGUGCAAAGAUAUCAAAGUUAUUAAAACAACUAUGAAUGUAUAGAAUACUUGUAAAAGGAUGGGGGUGUCUAAAUUCAAGUUUUUUUUUUAGAAAAAAAUAAUUGACAAAGAAAGCACGGAAUAACUAUGAGCCUAACUUCUCCCUCUUAAUA